ACGGUGGAGGUAAACGUCGGAUGCUCUUUCCUCGCCUGAAUGAAGGAAUCAUGUAAGGACUAUUAAAAACAUACGACGGUAUGUACGCUCGGCCGAACUUACUAUAACUAUACCCAGAGGUGCCUCAAUGAAGACCUGCACGCUCUCCCCACUAACAUCCCCGUAGAAACUAUACAAUGACGUAGGAGUAGAAAAAUUUUGAUUGCCCACAUCAGUAUACACUCCAUAGUCAUCUGGGGCUUAUCCAUUUGGCAAGAUGAACAUUUUAAACAACUAUCAAAUUAAAAGUUAAACGAACACAAUUGUUAAAUUUAAAUUUGCUCACCGGAUACAAGCGUCCAGUGGGAGAAUCUUUGUUUGGACGUUUAGACAGUGAAUCGAUAAAUCCCACCACGGUUUCUUUAAAAUCUUUAAAUUCUGAUUUCAAUUCAUAAAUGUUACGAUCAAUCUUGUCCAUCUGUCAUCGCAUAUAAUCAUUAAGUUGCUUUGUUCUUGACUAUUACAAAAAAAUGAAGUAAAAUUUUAUACUAACAGUAAAAAAUAAUGAUUUAUAUAUAAAGAAAAUAAAUUAUUUAUAACCUCGGAAUCAUGUGCGUCAUUAGACGUGUCUGUCUGCUCCUGAUGGUCAUCUACAGGCACCUCAUCCUCAGAAGUCUCAUGACGCUGCUUUGAUGUUGGGCUUGGCAUAUCGUCAUGCUCGUCUGAUUGUCUUGUAACGGACGGCUGCGCGUUGAUUGAGGGUUGGUGCUGUAUAAAGUAGCAUUUAAAAUAAGGAAAUAAAAAGUCAAAAAUUUCGAUUAAAUAAAUAAUAGUACUUAUAAGAUACCUACUCUUCUUUGCAUUCGGCUCAAGGGUUUAUAAAACGUCCCCCUACCAUGAAUUCAACCCAAAAUUAUAAGUAUACAAAACUUGAAUUUAGUAAUGUUAAAAAAAAGAACCAAUACAUAUUAUUUACAAGACGAGAUUCGUCAUUGAAGAACAAAUAAACCUUAGCAAAAUUGAUUUUCGAAGAAGCCAUGGGCUUCCAUUGCACGAUACGGGAAAUUUUCUUCUUCGUUUUCACGACCUACGCUAACGGCAAACCUUCGAUCGCUUCGUAAAUCCAAGCUUGCAACAACCAAAGUGAAAAAACUAUUAAAACAACUAUCAAAUAUUUAAUAUUACAAAACUUAUAAUAAACAAAAAAAAACAACGCACUUAAACCCCGAAUGUAAAGCCGUAAAUAUUGUACUUUUCAAUUUUAUGAUUUGAGUUUUCCAACCGAGUCGUCCUAAAUUUCUCGUCUUUCUCGUAUAAUGUAUUGUCAAGACUCUCGUAUAUCAUUUCCCACGACAAACGACCCCAUGGACGAUUUCGAAAGUGUUUUAUAUCAUCUACUUCAUUAAGACAUGAGAAAUUGAUUUGACAAUAACUUUUUCUUCCAUUUAGGACUCUGUCUGUAAAAUAAAAUAGCACAAUAUUUAAUGCAUCAAUGUCAUCCAAAGUCAAUUAGUGUAAUCCACUUAACAUUUUGAGUUGAGGAUAUUUUAGUAAACUCAUGUGAGUAUUUAGAGGACAUAAAUAUUCGUCGAAUUCAAUUUUUAGAGUAUUAAAAUAAUUUUGAAGAUAUUAUCUGCCAUAAUUACCUCUUUGGCAACAACGAAAACCUAACCAUCAUUUUUCCCGCUCCUCCAAUCCCAUGCAACCCACCAUUUUGAUAUUAUUAAUCUCAAUUAUACUGCUCAGUAAAGCUAGUAAAGUGAGACGAUGGGCCACUUCGUUGAAUUUGUCGUAGUCUUGUACCUUCAACAUAAUGCUCGUCUCCUUAGCUGCUUUCCCACUAAACCGAACCGAUAUUGCCAAUUAUAACUACAAACGCGACUUGUUUCCCUGUAAUUGGAAACAAUUAGUGGCAGAUUAAGAUAAGUCCUCAACAAAAAAUCGUCAUGAUUAUGCAAGAAGCAACGCUUUAAAGUGGGGCUUUCAAGUGGGUAAACUAAUCGGGAAUCAAAAGAAUCAAAUUUUCAAAAGCUAAUAUAUAAUAUAUAUAUAUUGAAUUGUUGAUCAUAUUUGUAUGGCUUGCACAAGCCAGAAAGUAGCGGAAGACACAUCCAAAUGCUCCAAUUUAAAAAAAAAAUAGUGAGCAAUUUAUUCUCUGGUGCUUUUGAUUUGAUUAAUUAAAUUCAAAGAAAUUCAACCUAAAUAAUCACUAUCAGUAGAAGCUACAAAUUAUAGACUUAUAUAAAAUAAAGAAAACUCACCGACAUAGAGAUCUCUAUAGCCCUUGAAUGGUUUUCCCUCAAUGGCUGUUUGGGAGUUUCAUGUUUGGGUUUGAGAGAGUGCAGUGAGCGGCGAAUUAGGGAUAGGAAUGUUUAGGAUUUAUACUUUUUCUAUUUUGUUUUUCAUUUUUCUUUGUUUCAAAUUUGUGCAACCUAAUCGGAGUCCGAACCCGAUGAAGAGAAUUACGAAAUGCGGCGGGAAUUGAAGGAGCGAGGCAAUAGAAGGCGGGAUAAUUUUUGGACUUUGGAGACUUAUAUGUGCUAGGCUACAAAACUUAAGCCCAAUCGUGGACAGGCCGAAGACAAAUAACUCAUGGUGUAUUUACUUCAUAGAAUAAGGAAUGAGAAUAAAAUUUAUGUUUAUUUGAUAAAAUGUAAUUUGAGAAUGAGAAUAAAAUGUGUAAGUUUUACAUAAUUUAUGAAUAAAGAGUGAAAAUCUCAUUCCCAUAGGGAUUUGGAAUGAAAAUAUAGGAAUGGAAAUGAAAUAUAUGUUUCCCUAUAAUUUUUUUAUAUUUUUCAAAUUACCCUCAUUCAAAUCACAAUUAAUUAUUAUUAUUAUUAUUAUUAUUAUUAUUAUUAUUAUUAUUAUUAUUAUUAUUAUUAAAUUUUAUUAACUUUAUUAUUUUAGUUAUUAUUAAUUAUUUUUAUUAUUUUUUAAUAUUAUCAUUAUUAACAAUAAAAAUAAUGAUAAAAAUAAUAAUUAAUAAAAAUAAUUAAUUUAUCAUUAUUAACCAUAUUAUCAUUAUUGUUAUUAUUAUUAUUGUUAUUAUUAUUUAUAAAAGUAAUAAUAAUAAUUAAUAAUAACUACAAUAAUAAAGCUAAUAAAAUUUAAUAAUAAUAAUAAUAAAUGUUAAUAAUGAUAAUAUUAAUAAAAAUUAAUAAUAAAAGUAAUUAAUAAUAAAUAAAAUAAUAAAGUUAAUAAAAUAUAAUAAUAAUAAUAAUAAUAAUAAAUGUUAAUAAUGAUAAUAUUAAUAAAAAUAAUAAUAACUAAAAUAAUAAAGUUAAUAAAAUUUAAUAAUAAUUAACUUUAUUAUUUUAGUUAAUAAUAAUAUUAUUGUUAAAUUUUAUUAACUUUAUUAUUUUAGUUAUUAUUAAUUAUUGUUAAUAUUAUUUUUAAUAAUAAUAAUAAUAGUAAUAACAACAACAAUAAUGAUAAUAUUUUUAAAUUAAUUAUUUUUGUUAAUUAUUAAUAUUAUGGGUAUUUUAGUAAAUUGAUUCUCAUUCUCAUUACUCAUUCCCAUUUAUUUUAUCAAGUAAACACACCAAUGGCAUUCCAGCAUUCUCAUUCCCAUUUAUUUUUACUAAGUAAACAUUGAAAUCUCAUUCUCAUUCAUAUUCCAUUUACAUUCCACCUCAUUCCCAUUCCACUUCAUUCCCAUUUCAUUAAGUAAACGCACCAUCAUUUCAAUGAAAUCACACGCACCGUUGAUCUUACACGUGUCUGACCGGCAAAACCUAAUUUCUGUAGUCAACUACAUUAAUUUCUUGUUGUAAAUUAAAACUACUUUAUGUGCUUCUAAAAUUGAAACUCCCGUCACGCAGGUGAUAAGGAAAUUGCUUCGCCAAUAUUCUGUUAAUCAGAAGUGAAAAAAAAAAGUUUAGUUUCUGUUAAUCAUUCUCAUUACUCAUUCCCAAGAAAAAAUUUUAUUAUUAAUUUUUUUUCUCAUAUCAAAAUAUAUAUUUCUUGUUUUUAAUGCUUAAUUUUUUUAUUUAGUUUCUAUUCAUCUAAUUUAUUUAAUUUAUAAUAAAUAUAAAAAAAAGUAGUUAAAAAUAAGGGUAAUAUUGUAAACUUAUGAUGUCAGGGAGUUUUUUGACCAUUAUAAAAAUAAUAAAGAGAUAAAUGAUAUAUGUUGAUUUCUGUAAGGGAGAAAAUGGCAAUCUCCCGAUAAGGAAAUUGCUUCGCCAAUAUUCUGUUAAUCAAAAGUGAAAAAAAAAAAGUUGUUAAAUUACAUAAAGCAAUCGGGAUGGAUUCGUGGAGAACAAAAAUUUGUCAAUGUAAAUAUAAAUUUGUCAUUUAUAAGCUGGCAUUGGUGAUGGCUCACAAAGAAAGGAUACAGAAGCACCAAAAUGCUAUUUGCUGUAUGAGUAUACCAUUCAAUUUUGAACAUAUACAUUGUGGCGACAUUUUACACAAGACCAUUAUUUCACUCCACAAAAAUCCGUUUAAUGCUCACUCUACAACAUAUACAGUGAGAUAUAUUGAAUAAAUAAAAAAUUAAAAAUAGAAUCUGGAAAAAUGACACAUUUAUGAAAACUGAAAAGGGAAAAAAGAAUUCCACAAUAUGAUUGAAGCUACUAGAAAGCUCCGAUGAAACUUUACGAUGAACAUACAUCUACUUUAUCCGAUUCUGGAGCAUCUUCGACCAUACAUCUAAUCUAUCCGAUUCUGGAUCGUCUUCAACCAUCUAAGCACCCGCAUCCAAUUGUGCUGAUAGUUUCUGAACUUCCAUUUUGAUUUAUCGGGUAGUAUGUUUGUGUUGAAUCACUUUGUUGGGGGCAUCAAUUAAGAGCAGCAAUUACCACCACGAGCCGAUUCCUGGACUUCUUUCUGUUUCAAAAUUUGAUUCUUCACCACUGCAGAUCCUUGUUCUAAUAAACUGGGAUCCUCAAGAAUCUGUAAACUAGGCAAAUCAAUAAGAACUGGUGCAGAGUAACAAAUUAGGCGAAAGACAAUACUGUGCAAUCUUUACCAUCUAAGAAGUCACAGAUUUAUUUACUGAUAAGAGUUCAUCUCAAAAAGAUAAUCCGGCAAUCAGUUUCUACAGAUAAUGUUGGCUACCGCAUCAAGAAAAAGUAAAUUAACAGAUUAGCAAUGGAGUAAAAAGUUGGAGUAAACACGAAAAUAUUUUGUGUCAGGUUCAUAAUUAAUUUUCAUAUAAUCUCUUGUAGUAUGUUUUCAUCAACAACCAACUAGCAAAAUUGAAGCAUCCAUUGACUAUGUGCUCCACACAAACAAUUAGGCAUCAUCAUAAUUCUUGUCAUUGUCUAUUAAGCUAUUCCACUUGCAACAGCUAUUAAAACAGCAGCACUAGCAAUGUCUCUCAAAUUAUUAGAACUAGAAGCACAUUGAAAUCGAUAGUAGAGGUUAUACAGCUUUCUUGUUAUGAUACCUUAUAUAAGAGAUCUUUAAAGCACUGCUUCACGUGUUCUGUAUUUUUAGCACUACAUUCAAGAAACAAACAUUUAUGCUCCUGUGCAAGAAUCAUCCCCUCCUCUCUGGUAACAGCCCUUUCACUAUCCUGAAAACAUUAAAAGCAAGGUAUUUUGUGAAUCUACUGGCAGUAGGUACAAAACCAUGGGAUGAUUAUUUAUUUUAAAAUACACAAUUUAUAUCAGUAAUAAAAUCCUAAGCAAAGCCAGACUAUCAACUCACCCUGUCAACUUUAUUUCCCACUAAAAUUUUGACACAAUCUUGAUUGGUAGAGUAAAGCUCUACUUCCUUUGCCCAUACACUUGACAAGUUGGUAAAGGUUUCUCGUCGUGUCACGUCAUAAACUAAAAAUGACAAUUAGUAACAAAUUAAUGAAACUUCAAGUCAUCAUUAUCAUUCAACACAUUCCAAAGGACUAAGAAAGCAAGUUCUGUAACAAAAACGAUAACAACUUAAAAGUGAAAACAUAAAUCAAACAGUGAAGAUUUGAUAUUCUGGGCGUAGAUUUGAGAAGAAUAUCCUGGAGUGCUUACUUUGUCCUAUCAAAUUGAAGGGACAUGUAACAACAUAUGUUAAAAUAAGUCAAUCAAUAAAUAAAUAUGAUGAUUAGGCUUUUCUAUUGCAGUGAAAAGAGCAUGCAUAAAUCAUUCCAUGCAAUGAAAAUAACUACAAACAUUUUGAAGCUAAGACACUCUGCUGAUACUACAACACCUGAAGAAGGGGAAAUAAUACAUUCAAUUGUUAGCACAACACACCCAUGAACAAUCUACUUUAUCUUAACAUAGGACUGUUCCAUUUGUCAAUCAAUCACCUGGCAAUGGUUUUCUAACAGUACAAACAACAAGUAUCAAAGCAAGUCAAAACAAGCAACUUCACACAGACACUCCUUUAGUACAUCUAUCAAACCAAUGAAAUUUUCAAAUUACAGGCACUUGUAGAAAUUCCAAUUCAACAUAAUAAGGUAAUACAAUCUGUGGAUUCCUGACACAUGAGAUGUUCAAUAUUCACAGGACAUACCAAGGAUAAUUCCAUGUGCACCUCUAUAGUAAGAGCUCGUCAAUGUCCCAAAUCUCUCCUGUCCAGCUGCAAUAAAACAUGAAAGGCUAUGUAAUAAAGCAAUUAAUCGUAUUUGACAAACUUGACUAUACUCAAUUAUACUACCGUUGUAUAUAAACCGCUACAUGUAGUGGCCAAUAGACAUAUAGCUAUAGGAAUUCCCACAUCUUUGGGAAUCCUGUUUACAACAUCUUGUUAUUCAGUAAAACAAAGUGACUUCAUUGACUUUGCUAUUUUGGGAUGGAGCUGAAAAGGAUUGUAUCCAGUGUAAUAAGUUCAAAGUAACUUAUUAAUCAGUUGCACACAAUCUUAUUCAUCCUUCUUCACUUAGAAGUUGAUUUAGAAAGGCCACAAAUAACCAACAAUCACGUAUGUUCAUCCAUUACCUGUGUCCCAAAUUGUCAGCUUCAGUCUUUUUCCACCAACUGUGAGUAGUUUGAUUUUAAAAUCUACACCUGAACAUGAGUAAAACAACAGUAUCCAAAGGUCAACACAUAUCAAAAAUAAAAACUUCAAAUAGCAAAACCUAUAAAACAGUACAAGUCAGGCAUUACUGAGUCAUAAUUUUGAAUGUUCUAAUCAAAGAAAUGACAAGUCCUUCACUCAGAUUCCCCAUAAGCAUCAUAUAAAACAGAGAGCCGCUACUAAUUUCUUCCCGGUUGACCCCCCAAAAAACAGAGAAAUAACUCAAAGCAGACCUUUCCUUAAUCAAAACCACUAAUAACCUCCAUAGCCAAGGCAUCCCAACUUGCCAAUUCGAUUAUAUGCAAACAUAAAAUUCAUAUACAUGUACGCAUACAUAUGCCACAUACAUGCAUGCAGACAUACAUGCAUACAUAUAAGCACAAAUUUGACAUCAGAGACCAAUAUUUUAUAAAAAAAGUUUUAUUUCACAACAUGUAAGAUCCCAAAUGAGGGGGAAAAAAAAUACCAAUUGUGGGAGAAGGAUCAUGAACAGAGUUAGAGAUGAAACUGAGAAGGAUACUGCUCUUUCCAACACCUGAAUCACCAAUCAACAGAAUCUUGAAAGAGUAAUCAUAGCUGUUGUUUCCAACUUUUGAACCCAUCUCUGACCUUUAUUUCUUCUUCACAUACAACAACAAGAAAUUAUAUAACAAAAAAAUUAAGCUUUCUAGUUCACCAUCACCUUUGCAGAAUUUUGCCAAUUCUGUGAACGAACUAGGAAAGAAAAAAAGAAAAAAAAAACAAAGAGAAAGAGGAACAAAUGAAAGAAAAUUUGAGGAAAUUUCCUCAGGUAGGAGACAGUGGUGGGGUUGGCGGGUAGUGUUUCUUGAUUUUUAUUUUUAUUUUUUAAUUAUUUUCUUUAAAUUUUUUGUUUGAUUAAAUAGAAGGGGUUAUUAUAAAAAAUGAUCCCCUGUAUUUUGCAUAAUUUAAAAAUAUUCUAAAAUAAUUUCCAAAUUUUUAAAUAGCUCAGAUAGCUUGUGGUUGUGUAAAGCAGAAAGUUGGACUCAUUUCAAAUAAAAAUAAAAUUAUGAAUAAUUUGUCAUUUUAUGGAAUAUGUCGGGACUAUAAUGAUAAUGUCGCGUUAGAGAAGUUUUAUAUGAAUACUAAUUAAAGAACAACUGAAGAGGUUCAAACAAAGGGACAAAUGUCAUCUUUUCUUGACCGGUUUACCGGGCGUGUUUGAUUUUGAUGGCUCCACGCGCCUCUGCAGGCGCUUGUGUGGGGCCGUACUUAGCUUUUACAUCAACAUCAAAUUAUAUUUAAUUCUAACCCAACUCACCUGAUUUUUGGCAUUUAAUUAUUUGUCUUUUUACGAGUUAAUUUGGUCCGUAGUCCUUACUCUUUAUUGAAUUUCUUUUCCAAAUAGUAAUUACAUCUCAAGUAUUAGUAUUUUGGGUGGCGGAACUUCAAAGAUUUUAUUUUAUUUUUUUAAAUAGUAAUUCUCAACCAUUUCGGAAUUUAAAACUCAAAGGUAACAUGAUAAAUGUUAUGAAAAACUUCAUAUCUAAAUAAGAAAAUCCUACAAAAAAAUAAUAAACUUAAAAGAUUGUAUUAGUUUCAAACGGGCUAAAAUGUAGAAUAUUUUAAAAUUAUUUAGAUAUUUGCCUUCGGAAUUAAAUGGUCGCAUAAAAAAAUGUUAUUUCUUUAAUAUUACUUAUAACUUUACUAAUACUACAAUUAAAAAUCAAUUGGGAUUUGUUUUGAUCAACACAAUAGUGAUGAACAAUAUUUAAAAAUUAAUUUCAAAGGAAAUUAUUCCAAAUAAAAAAGAAAUUAUCUAUAUUUUAGCACUAGUGAAAAUUGACCCCGUAUCUUUAAUUUUUAAAAAAUAAGGUAAGAAUCACUUAAUCAAAAAAUGGUUCUUAAAUAAAAAUUAAAAUUCUCUUCACUCAAAUAAUUGGUGAUUAAUAAAUUAAAAAAAAUAAUUAAAUCUUAAUUAUAUAUUAAAAAUUAGAUAGCAAAAUAAUCUCACUGCCUCGAAUAAAUAUUAAUUUAAUAUAAUGCUUUUAUAUUUUUAAUACAAUCAUUUUUAAACAGUAUGUUCCUGUAUGUAAUGAUCACAUUUGGAUUUGUUAAUGAUUAUCUCGCGUAUUGUAAGAGCAUGGACAUGGAUAAAAAUAAAAACAAAAUAUAAGUAAAAUAUUAAAUAAGUGUUUUAAAAAAAAAGAGAUUAAAAGCUAAAUUAAGAGAAUAUUCCAACCCUGAACUAUUUUCAAAAAAAAUUUUAAACUCGGGAUAGAGUUGCACAAAACGGAGCGACACCCCUACGCGCGUAAACAGCAACGGAUUUCAUGAGAAGCCUACGUGGCUACGUUACGUAAAAUUGUGAAAAAACGAUGCCAUAGCUCGACACGUAUAAAACAUGCAGCAAAGCAAGCUCAAAUGUAUAUAUUUUUAUAAGAAUAUAAAUAACACCUGGCUUUGCUGCCGGCAUCCGUCAUAACUCAUAUCGUCUUUGACUUUGACUAGCCGUCUCGGCUAUGCCUAGAUCAUCAUUCAUCAAAGCUUCUCUUUGCAACAAUUUUCUUUUGCAUGAUUGUGCCCUCUGCAAAACUCUAUUAUUUUGAUUGGUUUAGGCUAUUUAAUCCCGAAAUUUUGUUUUCCAAAAAAAAAAAUCCCGAAAUUUUGACUUAAAAUUUUUAUUUAAAUUUUCAGCUUUUGAUUUUUUUAUUAAUUCUACGAAAACACUUAUGUUGUGUUUACUUUAUGGAGUGAAAGUGAGAAGUAUAAUUUUUUCUUAUUUUUAAGGAAGGAUUAGAAAUCUCAUUCCGUGAGCCCCACUCAUUUUUUAAGUGGGGAGUAGGACUCAGUGAGACUCCCAUGAGGAGAGGUGGGAGUAAAUUCUUUAUUUUAUACUCUCUUUUUAUUAAAUUUAAUAUAAUUAUAUUUAAUAAAAUAAAAAUAUAUAUUUAUAUUUAUUUAAAUAAUGUUAUUAUAUUUAACUAAACAAUAAUUUGGUUUGAUUUUAAGUUAAAAUUAUUUAAAAAUAAUAUUACUAUAUUAAUAGAGAAUUAAUAAUACUACUAUAUACUAUAUUUAUUUGAAAAUAUAAUAAUAUUAUUAUAUUUAUUUAAAAAUAAUAAUAUUAUAUUUAUUUAAUAUUAAUAAUUCAUAAUAGUAAAUAGUUUAUUCUAAGAAAAUAUUUCAUUUGUAUUGCCCUUAUCAAUAAUUUUUAAUUUAUAUAAUUAAAAUUAAAAUUAAUAAAAAAAUUGUGAUGUACAUAAUUAAGAAUAUUAAUAAUUAUUAUAAAUUUACAAAUAUAAUAAAAUAAAUAUUUAUUCAUCAAAUAUAUUUUUUAUUAACUUUGUAAUUAAAAACAACAAUUCUUUAAAUAAGGGUAAAAUUAUAAUUUGAAACUAUUUACUCCCAAUUCAAGACAAAGUAAACACAUAAAUUAUAUUAUGAUCUACAUUCCACUGUAAGUAAACAACCUACUCUCACUCCCACUUCACACUCUCAAUCCUAAAAUUCUCACUCCUCAGGAUUUUCACUCCAAUCCAAAAUGCAAACGCUACCUUAAUGUAUUUUUUUUCCUAAUUAUUGAUAUGUAUUGUAUGAUGAAUUUAUUAGUAUUUAUAUUUAAAUAUUAUGAUCAUUUAGAUAAAUUUCAUUAUGGUUUAGUCUAAAUAUCUAUUCUCAUAAAUAUUGAAGAAAUAUAUUUCACUCACGAAUCAGUGAGAAUAUAUUUAUCUCUAUUCAUUUUUUUAAUUGGAAAAGGAUACGACGAUUUUAAAAAUCGCAGUGCAUAAUUCAGUUAAAAUCAACAAUAAACAACCCACUAAAUAUCUUUAUUAAAACAAUACAACAAUUUUCUCUUUUACAAUAAGGACCAAAUCAUUCACAAAAUCAAUAAUAAACAACUGAUUGAACAUCUUUAAAAAAAAUACAAUAAAUAAGUGGAUAUUUUAAAAAUAUUAUCACAUAAUCAAAUCAGUGAGAAAAAUAGAAAUAUAGUAAUAAUUAUGAGCUACGUUUUUAGUAAAGAAAAGCAAGUUACAUCUGGUUAAAUUUAACAUAAUAUAUGGUAGCAUUUGAUUAAAUAUGAACCAAAAAAAAAAAAACCAAAAAAGUGGUUCACUUCAGCCUUUGGUCAUUCUUUCACGCUUUUCAAUUUAAAAAACUAAAUGAAACAAAUGGUGUGUGAUGUGAAAUGAGAAACACUUCUGUGGAAGUGGAACAGUCCAAUGGUUUAGCAGUGAUGUUAAAAGUAAAAUUUUGGAGAUCUAUUAAAUUUAAUAUUAGAAAAGUCAGCGAGUUUUAAUUGGGAUUAAAAUUACACAGUUAUAAUUUAAAAAAUAUAAUUUUAAAAUGUUUGAUAAACAUGAUUGUUAUAGUUUGGAAGCAUCUCCAAAAGAUUGUAUUAAUUUUAUUUUUUAAAUAUUUAUUUAUUUACUUAUAUGGUAAAAAGGUGAGUGAAAAAAUAUGUUAUUCUCUAAAAAAACUCUUUAAAUAGAAAUCAAUUAAUAUUGUUUUAAUCAAAUUAAUAUUUUUCAAAGGAAAAAUAUAUGGUAAUUAAAGCACAUCUUUCUCUCUAAUAAAAGUAAUAAAAUAUAAAUUGAAGAGGAAGAAAUAAACUCUAUAAAAUUAAAGGGAGAGCAUCAUUUUUUAUUUAAAAAAUCUUAAUUAGUAUGUCUUUUGGAGUGUUAAAUACUAAUGUGGCUCUUCAAAUAAAUAAUAAAAUCUUAUUUAAAGAGCCCUUUGGAGAUGCUCUUAGUUGAUUUGAUUUUUACAUUUUUAUGAUUGAAAAAUUUAUUAUAUUUUUAUUAAUUUUAUCAAAAUUAUUAUUAAAAUUUAUAUUUACUACACAAUAGUAAUUCUUAUUUCAUAGUUCUAGUAUUUUUUAUACGGCAACGGUAGCUUAAAAAUUACAAUACCUUAAUUCAAAAGAGAACCUCCGUCACAUGACAAAAUAUUAACAGACUGUAUCACCAUUUCAUAUAAUUUUUUUUAAUGAAAUUAUGUUUAUGAUUAUUUCUUAUUCGAAAUCACACAUAGAAGUUUCUGCCUCUUAACAAAAAAAAUUUGACGGGUUAAAAUCAUUUGAUGUGGCUUUUUGAAUGACUUUUUUUUUCCCAAAUAAAAGCUUUAUUCAAAUAUUUUCUUUAAGUUUUUUGCGUACAAUUUUACUCGGUUGUUUUUUUGAACUCCAGAAUAAUUCGUUUUUCUUGAAAUUAUUUUAGACCCAAAAAUUGAUUUAAUUUGGCAUGGAAAAAAAAAAAGCUAGUUGAGAAAAAUGGGGUAUCUAGCCAUGGCCUGGGGUCCCCUCAGAAGAUUGGAAUGCUUGAUGGGUUUGAAUCACACGGCCGAACUCGUUUGUGCAUGAUGGCAUGGGGCCCGUGGAACCUUUACUUGCCUUACAGGAAAAGUCCGAGAUAGAAACGUGCUUUUCACGCUUUGGUUUUGGCACUUAACUGACAUAAGACAGGCCAAGCCAGCACCCACGGUCUAACUAAUUACAUCAGCCUGGAUAAUUGCACUUUAUUUUUUAUUAAUUAACAUUUUUAUGUUUUUCAGAUACUUUUUGCAGUAAUUAUAAAUAAUAAUAAAAAUUAUUAAAAGACUUUUCUGAAAUAUCUCAUAUACCUCCUUAACAAAGGGGGGGGGGGAAUUAUUUUCUAUAUAAUAAAAUUGAAAAGAACAUCAUUUUUAAUGUUUUUAGCAACAUUUCCUCUUUUUAGUAAUUGCUUAAAACUUGAGAAUUUUUGUAAAAGGGGAUUUUCAUUGAAAUACUCCCUUAUCUUUCUCCCAAAAAAAAAUUAUCAAACAAAUUAGCAGUAUUUUAAACGAUUGAAUCAUAUUAAUCAAUAAUUAUAAUCUAUUUUUAUGAUUAAUUUUACAAAUAGAAGUAUUUUGGGAAACAGAACGUUGCGUAUUUCCACAAAUAAAAAAAAAAAAAGGUUACCAAAAUUUGUUUUUAAAAAAUUCGAAUACGAUAAGAUUUCUCUUCUUUUUGAGUUUUCAAGUGCAGUGCAGAUAGAUAUGAUAGCUCGCACAGACAAUAAAUAGCCUUUAAUGGUCAGUUCUCACUUACCAAGUUCAUUGAAAUUACCAAAUUAACCUUUUACUGCACUGCAAUCAAUACAACAAUUUAAAAAAAAAAGAAUUUUCAAAAAACAGAAAACAAAAAGGAAAAAAAAAAUGAAAUGACAAAACGAUGCUGCUUCACUCCACUUGAGACACCCUAAUUUCUUGUAAUUGAAGCUACCAGCCGCAGUUGCUUCCCCACCAAUCAAUCCCAACAUUUCUUCUAUCAUCCCCGUCACGGGAAAAGCCCUAACCCCAUCAACAAUCAGGCCGUUUUUGGUUUCUCAAAUGGGUAACGAAGGUCUUGCCCUCACGACCACCACACCGGCGACACCUGCGACACCGGCAGCGGCGAAGAAGAAUACGGCGGCACUUGCACCUGGGUUUCGAUUCCACCCAACGGACGAAGAGCUUGUGAGCUAUUACUUGAAGCGCAAGGUCUAUAACAGGCCCUUUCGCUUCAACGCCAUUGGCGAGGUCGAUAUUUAUAAGAACGAGCCUUGGGACCUCGCAGGUCAGGAUUACUCAUCUCUUUCGCUCUAAUUUUUUUCUGCAUAUACUUUUUUCAUUUCUGUUAGUGGGUUUUUGUAUUUUCAUUUUCCUUUUACCGUUUUCCAGAAAAAAAGUUAGGGUUUCGUUUUUUUUCAGUCCUGUGAUUUUAGUGGUACCAUUUCUCGCUAGUUAUUAUUUAGAUUUUUUAUUUUGCAAAUAUUAGGUUUUUUGUUUUUGUUUUUGUUAUUUUUGUUUUGCUGUCUGUGGUGAUUUUGAUAGUCAUAAUUUGUUUUUGAGUUUUUUUUUAAAUUACAUUUCUGAGAGGGGUUUGGCUUAUAUCUGGAGUUUUGCGGUUUAUAUUUCUUUGAUAUGGUUGCUUAUCGGGGGUUUACUUGUUUAGGGGGUUUUAGUUUACUCAAUAUUGAAGACCAUUCGGCUAGAUAUGAUUUUCUUUAUGGGAUUUUUGUUUUUUUAUUUUAAUAGUAUCAAGAGGGCUUUCAAGAGUUUAUUGUUCUGUUUAUUGGAGAAGAAAGUUUAAACAUUACUUGUUUAUGUGGUUUUAGAUUUUUCGUGGAUGAAGACCAGAGAUCAAGAGUGGUACUUUUUCAGUCCAUUGGAUAAGAAGUAUGUAAAUGGGGCAAGAAUGAAUAGAGCUACGCGGAAAGGGUAUUGGAAAGCGACAGGGAAGGAUCGUGAGAUUCGCCGGGAGUCGCAACUCAUUGGAAUGAAGAAGACGCUUGUGUUUCAUAGUGGGCGUGCCCCUGAUGGGCAGCGGACCAAUUGGGUUAUGCAUGAGUACCGCCUUGUGGAAGAAGAAUUCGAGCAAUUGGGGCCUGGACUGGUAAGGCUAUAAUGAAAUUUUUGUUGCUGGUUUUGAUUUCAGAUGCUAAUAGUAUUUAUGAAACAAAUAACACCCUUGAGCUGAGUUAUUGUUAAUAGAAAAAGAAUAUUCUUGAGUUGAGUUAUCAAACACAAAAUUUAGGAUUGAUAGAAAAGGUUCUCCCAUAGUUUUCUGUUGUAGGUUAAGCUUCUUUGGUUUUAGUAAUUCUAUAUAGCUUGUAUUUGGUUUCCGAAAGAAUUUUGGAAUUGUCUGGAAAAUUGAUUUAGUCCUUUCGGAUUUUAUGAUAUAUACUGUUUUGACAAUGAAUAAGCCAGUACAUUUUACUUCAGUUGUUUGUACCCAGGUCAGUGAAUUUGAAGAACUGAAUCUGUUUUCUUGGGGUCGUAAAUAAUGCAAAAUCUUUAGCGUAGGAGUUUUAACACUGCAAUUUCACUGCAACCUAAGUGCAUAAUUGUUCAUCAUAAAUCUUAUAGGAUUUGCUUGUUUUCUUUUGUGCAAAAGGCUUCAUAUGUGCUGUGUAGAGUAUUCCACAAGAACAACAUAGGGCCACCCAAUGGGAAUCGAUAUGCACCAUUCGUUGAGGAGGAAUGGGAUGAUGGCAUGGCAACUUUUCCAGGAGAAGAUGCUGCAGAUGAGGUGGUAGCAGGUGAUGAUGUUGGUACUGAAAGGAAUGCUGGCGAAAGGAUGCGUGUUGAGCAGGUCUGCCCAUCCUCUUUUUCUUCUUACCCUUCUUUUCUCUUUUAAUUUUUAAGCAUAUGUGUGAUACUGCAAGUUAUGAUAAAGGGGUUGGCAAUAUAUCGAAAGAUAUCCAAUGGAUUCUGGCCAAUUACUGUAGACAAGAAUCCAGCAUUUUAAUAUAAUUGAACGGUUGAACAAGCCAGUGAUGUAAGCAUCAAAAGUUUGUUUUAAUCACUUUUAAUUUUGAGUACUUUGGGUACUUGAUUAUCUUCGAGCUUCCUCUUAAAUUACAAUUAACGUCUGAACUACUGAGAGUCAUUGUCUUUGGAUUCAUUGAAAAUCAUAGGGUCAUUCAAUAUAUAAUAUAGGUGAUGGAUUAAAAUCCAUGCUUAAAUGGAUGCAACCUUCUCAGCGUAUUUAUUGACAUUUAUUAGGCGAAUGCAUACUUCCCUUCUAUAAUAGGUUCAAGUCUAAUGGGUAUGAUACCUCCUCCAAAUUAUCUCCAUGGACGUGAAGGAAAAAUGUAAUUCCUUAAGCCUAUAGGGUUCAUGCCUCUACCUUUUGGGAAGGAAAACUUACACAGAUUGACCGAAUAGACUAUUCUGAAAAUCAUUUGUGGCUAGGAAGUUGAAGGGCAUCUGGCUUCUCGUUUUAAUUUUUAGUCUUUACUUGAAGGGUGCUGAUAAACAAGUAGGGUUUCCUUACAGAGAUUGAAUUUAUUCAAUGUCAUCUAGAGCAUGGGCUGGUUCAUGGUGUGGGUAUGAUUAUGAAAUAUUAUAUUUUUCCCCAUACAUGGUGUGGUAUAGUUCUUUCUUCUAAUUGUCAAAGACUACUACAGACGAUAAUAUCAGUUUCUUUUGUUUGAUUUCAUUUGACUUUGUAUCAUACUGUUAGAAGAUGUUGCUUCCAAAAUGCUUGCUAAUAACAUAUAUUGUUGUGCAGUGUUAAAGUCUUCAGUGGCAAUGUAAGCACCUAUAAGAAUAUAACAUUUCAAGGGAGCAAGAAUUAAGAAAUUAUGUUGGUUGUUCUUAAAUGGGAUGAAACCAAAUUUUUCCUAAGAACGCAAUUGACAUAGAAGUAUAGGAAUUUGCUGACCUCUUAUCAUUAAUUCAUGGCAUCUCAUUAGUUUAGAUUUCUUUUUGGCUGUUAUAAAUAGCAAUUGAUGUAUUUUUCUUAGCAAAGCAUGUGAUUAUUUGAAUAACACAUAAACAUACUCUUUUCUAUCCUCUCUUCUUUUUCAUUACAGUUCUAUUUCUCUCCAAUUUCUGUUCUUUCUAGUCUGUUUCUCUUUAACCUGCCUAUUUCCAUUGUUAACUUAUUAUGCAUCCCACCUGAAAAUCAGGACCAUGCACAUGGCUGUUUUCUUUUUUCUUUUUUGUAUUGUAUUAAUGCCAAAUUAGUUAUCAGAAAGUUUGGAAUUACCACUUAUCAGGACAUCAAAAUAAAAUAAAAUUGGACUUGCCAAUUAUGAAUGCUUUUGUUAGUGUGGUGGCACUGAGUAGUGGCACAUUGGUUUAAUUUAUGACGUUUGUACAACUGUACAUGAUUUGACUGGUUAUUUAUCCAUAUGCUUCUUUUUGGCGUCUUCAUUCAAUAUCACUGGGUUGGUGGAUUGCUAUUUACUAUCUCCUUAAUUUACUGAAUAAAGUGCUAUUGAAUGUUGGUUGAGUGUUUCAGGAUUCUCAAUCCAUCAAUAAGGAGCCUCUGAAUAUUAAUGAACUUCCAAAAGAUGCUCAAAAUGAUUUACUGGAUUGCAAGAGGGAAAGGACAGACGGUUGUCCUUCGCUAUGUGUGUUAAAUACACAGGCACCUCUUCCUCUUCUCCAAUACAAAAGAAGAAGGCAGAAUGAUUCAGGUUCUAACCGAUCAAAUGGUUCAGAUAAUUCAUCUGGAGCAGGCCAGGAUCCUUCCUCAUCUACCACCACAACAGCUGAAACAGCAACGAUGAUGGCGACAAAUUCAGCAACAACAGCAGCAAUUUCUGCGUUGUUGGAGUUCUCUCUGAUGGAGUCUAUUGAACCCAGAGAGACUUCUCGUGUUCCCACAGCUGCUCCAUUUGAAGCUAAUGAUUUUGAUUCACAGAUGCCACCUGACUGUGCUAAACUUAUCAAAGAACUGAAGAACCAGGUGCGCGAGGUUGUCGUUGAGAGGGAGACAUUGAAGCUUGAUCUGAUGAGUGCUCAAGCCAUGAUUAACAUCCUGCAUUCGCGAAUUGAUUUCCUGACCAGGGAAAAUGAGGAUUUGAAGAGGAAAAACAAAGCUGCUUAGUGGACUGAAAUGCAGCCCCAUUUAAUCGUAGCGUUGUUUGUUCGAUCAGUGUAGGAGUCAUCGGCCUCUUAUGGGCUUUUCCCCUCUUAUCUGUUGAUUACAGAAUGUAUUUGUAAAUUUCGGAGGUCUGUUGUUUAGUUGUUGUAAUGUUAUGAGAAUGGCGGGAUAUUUUGCACCAACAGUCGGUAAUGUAAACUGAGACCUUGUUUUUAAGUCUGUGUUAGAACUCGGUAAGUUCAUUGUUGUUGAGAAUUCAAUAUUGUGCUAAUGAACCCUUUUCAGGAAAACUAUUGGUCCAUUUGCCCUAAAUUUGUUUGAGAAACCUCUGAAGCAGUUACCAUUUGUUUGUGCCAGCUUCAAAGCUUUACCCGCAGCACUUUGUGGACUUUCAAUCUUUUCUCCCUAUUCAUUACAGGUUGGCGACGGUGAGUGGUUGAUGAGAAUGUAACAAGUACCAACUUUAUGAAAAAAAAUUGAACAUACUUUUUUUUUGUUUUGAGCUAGUACUUACAAUCUACAGACAUUAGAACUUGGGGUUUGCUGUUUUUGUAUUUCCUGUUUUUCUAUUUUCUGUCUUUUUCAUUUUUUUUUUGCAAGUUUCUUUUGGUUUUCUUCUCUCUUUUUUUUUUUUUUUCAUUUUCAUUGCAUUUUCCUUUUUUGAAUUUGUUUGUAAUUUUGUGGUUGGACAUUGUAUUUCUGCCGCUCAUGAGGGUCUGUUUGGUGCCAAAGAUGGUGUUGUUUUAGUUUUUUUAUCAGGAUUGUGUCAGUGCUCGUAUGGGGAUGAUACGCCUCUAUUGGAGUCGCUACAGGGCUCUAGUAGGUGAUGCAUUGAGAUUUUGAUGGCUUCGGAUGAGUAAAAGAUGGCCUGGGAUAAGAGUUCAUCAAGAGACCUUUGAGGAUGAUUCUAUGAGAGACAAUUUUAUUAGUUGUUUGUGUUUUGUUUAAUAUUGUGUUGUGUUGUAUUGUUUUGUAUUAUCAGAUUGGAGGAGGUUUCGCAUACAUUUGUUGAGGCGGGUUAGGUCAGUUCUGUGAAAUUCCUCCGAUGCUUGAGUAGUUUUAAAGGUGAAAUGUUGUCUUUUUUUCGAUUUUUUGUGAUGGCUGAUGGAGGCCGCAUUUAAUUUAGGCUUGAGUCUUAGAUCUUAUCCUCUAUAUUUUACUUAAGCUAGAUAUGGUCGUUUAUUUACACUUUUAUGGCGAUGUAUUGUUGUAUUGUUGGCCAUUAUUAAUCUUGAGAUGAAAUUCAUACCUUCCAAAAAAAGAAAAAAACAAAAGGAAUUAUGGGUUUGUUUGGAAUUUAAAUUUAUUUACAAUUUGAUAUUAAAUUUUAUUAGACCAAUCAACGUCAAUGAUAUUAGUUAAAAAUAAAUCAUUUUUAUUUUUAUUUAUUUAAUAUAUUUCCCAAUAAUUAUAUUAUAGUGAUUUAAUAAUUUAUAAUUUUAUGAAAAUUUAACUAUUAUUAAGACAAAUUAUUUAUUUAUUUUGAAGUUAUUAUUUAUAUUAUGUGUUAUUAAAAAUUCACAAUGAUAUUUAUUACAUUUAUCACAUAUUAAUGUAAAUAAAAUAUAAAUUGUUAUAAAUAAAAAUAUAAUUAAAAAUAUUCUUUUUUUACAUUAAUUUUUCAUUUGUAUUAAUCCAUUAAACUAUGAUCAAAUAAAUAUUUAGUUAUUUUAAAUUAAUUUCAAUAAUAUUUUAUUAUUCAAUCCAAUCAAAUCUUGAACUAUUCCAAAAACAUGAUGGUAUUAAAUAUAUUUCAUUUACAUUCUAUCACUUCUCGUUCUAUUCAAUCACAUUCCAUCCUAUCCUGUUAUACAUACCAAACAUACUUUUAUAAUACAAUUUGAGGUUCCUCAUAAAAAAAAUAACCCAAAAAUAGUUGCGAGACGUAAAUUCCUACAUUUUAAAAGAUAUGUACCCCUACCCACAAAAAUCGAACCCAUUUAUUUUACAAAACAGAGAUGAAUUUUCACUUGGAUAUCCACUCACAGGAUAAAAUAUUCAUCAUUAAUAAUCUAUUAAUUUUAUGGAAGAACGGUAAGGUCUUUUAUACAACAUACUAGAGCUUAAUGAAGCAGAGGGACAAAAUGUUGGUGUACAGCUUGAUAAUUAGAUUAUGUAGGAUUUCUCUUAAACCUUAAUUAGCUUAUGCAAAAUAUGUCACAAUCCACAAAUCGCAUGUAAGGUGAGGGAAUUAAUUAACAUAUGCUAAAGGGAAAAAUAAUAAAUUAUUGUACAAUUUUUUUGACUUAGAGAGAGCGAACAAAUCAGACAGCCUAGAUUUUGAUUUAUCGAUAUGGUUCUUUUUCGAGAAUGGAAGUGCAACAAUAGUGUUACAUCGAUGUUGACUCUAUCGAUACGGUUCGUUUUAAGUAUCUCAGCGAAGGUCCAAGUCUUCGAGAGGACAUCUCCGUCAUUUUGAUUAUAUUUAAAGCAAUCACUUGACGGAUGCAGUUGCGUCAGUAGCACGGUGCGAGCGAGCAACCGCCUACCAUUGGCUCCGCACGUGUUAUGGGCACACCCACUCCUGCCUGCUCACGUGUCAAUCCUAUACAAAAGCCACGUCGACUACAAUAAAACAGAGAAAAAGAUACACGACGGGUAAUCCUAGCAGUGCUUCCCCAAUUGCUACUUAAUUCAAAGAGGGACAGACUUCGCACUAUUCAUUUCUUCCUCAGCAAGAUGUCUCGUCUUUCUCUCGCUCGCUUCUCCCACUUUUUCUGAAACUCCAAUUAAUUAACCCCAAAAAAACCCCAAAAAAAAAACCUAAACCCUAAUUUUAAAAAAAUUCAGCUAAAGUUCUAAUUAUCUUUUUGAUAACAAUUUAAUUAAUCGAAUCCUUUAUUUCUGUAAUUCGCUUCGAUUGAUGGGCCGUGAGUUUGCAUCGACGUCGUUAGCUCCGGGGUUCCGAUUUCACCCCACCGAUGAGGAACUCGUUCGGUAUUAUUUGAAACGGAAGGUUUGCCAUAGACCGCUCCGGUUCAACCCAAUCUGCGUCACCGAUAUUUACAAGUCCGAGCCUUGGGACCUACCCGGUACUUUGUUUUCCCUAAAUUUCAUUUUUUGCUCACAAAGUUACGAUUUUUGUUCAGAUCUAGUUAUUCUUCAGGUAUGGUAAAUAUAUAUACUUGUGUAUAUUUGUCUUUAAUCUAUUUGUUAGGAUACUAUGGCCUAAUUUGUCGAAUUUUAUUUUAAUUUUACUUUAUCCUGGUGGGUUUAGAUAAGUCGAGUUUGAAAACUAGGGACAAGGAGUGGUAUUUUUUUAGUAUGUUGGAUAAGAAGUAUGGCAAUGGGUCGAGGACCAAUAGGGCCACUGAAAAAGGAUACUGGAAGACCACUGGGAAGGAUCGCCCUGUUCAUCAUAAUACGCGGACUGUUGGGAUGAAGAAGACCCUUGUCUACCACAUGGGGAGGGCUCCUCAUGGUGAACGUACCAAUUGGGUGAUGCAUGAGUACCGCCUCACUGAUGACGAUUUGGAGAAAGCUGGAGUUGCGCAGGUGAGAUCAUGGAGGACUCUGUUUGGGAUUUGUGUUUUUAUUUGUAUUGUUUUGGUAUUUGAUCAAUUGUCUCUCUCUUUUUUUUUUUUUUAGUGUUUUUGCAACUAGUGGAAAUUGAUUGGUUGUUGGUUGUGUUGGGGAAGGAUACAUUUGUUCUGUGUAGGAUAUUCCAGAAGAGUGGAUCAGGGCCGAAGAAUGGGGAGCAGUAUGGGGCACCUUUUAUUGAGGAGGAAUGGGAGGAUGAUGAGGCGGUUGACGCAGCUCUUGUACCAGGUCAUGACGUGGUUGCUGACGAAUUGGUGGUUAGUGAUGAUGCAUAUUUUGAAACGAAUGACCUUGAUCAGGUUUGAUUUUAUCUAAUCAUGAUUUUUAGAAUUGAUUUUGUUUACAAUGGCAUAUCAUCCUUUUAAUUUGAGCCUUGGAUGUAUUGGUGUUAAAUGUUAUAUGGAUGAGUGCGUGACUGUCCAUGUUUUGCAAAUGAAUUCAACUAUCACGAGGCAAUAAACGGAGAGAAUUACAUUAAUAUUGUUGUCUUAGGGUGUCUUACCUUGAAGUUAAGUGUAUGUCACUUUGUCAUUUAAGAAAAUAUAGAAUAAUCCAUAAUAUUUAAGAUUCAAAUUGUUAUCUAAACUUACAUGUGAGCGUGGAAAUUUUCCUGCCAAGUACUGAGAAAUAUUGGCGGUUAUAUGAUUGAUGUUGAAUAAAUAAAGUUUAACAAGAGAAAAAGAAGGGGGGGGGGGGGGUUAAGAGAGAGAGUGGAGUUAUAAACUUUUCCUUUUUAAUUAACUUGCACAUGUUUUGAACAGAUCACUUAGAUUUAGUUUUCUAGCUUUUUGGACUAAAAGUAUUCUCAUUAUCCAAUUUUAUGCAAAAAGUUAUAUUUUGGAAGGGCAUUUAUGGGAGCAAACUCCAAAAGUGUGUGAUUUGCUCACUUUAAUAGUUGUACAAUAGAGAAUUAAUUGGUUGUCUCGGAUAGUUAUUUAAUAGAUGAAGGCUUAAAUUUCACAAGAAUAUUCAGAUGAAAAUGUAUAUACCAUAUUGGAUCGUUAAUAAAAUGUCAAGCAAGGAGAUUCCACCAAUGAGGAACUGUGAUUGUAUUAAGUGUCAUUAUUUUUGUUAUGUUAUAUUUUGAGUUUUAAGCUGAUCUAGGAUAUUUUUUACUCUUGACCUGGAAGUAGAAGAGUCCAUUUGGUUUUGGACUUGGGCACAGAGGCUUAUAUGCUUUUUUUUAUUGACAUUUGGAUUCAUUUUAUAAUUAUUUUUAGAUACUGUCUUCAUGUCUCCACUUUGCUAAAACUUAUUUCUUGAAGUUUUUCAGAAGAAGAAAAUCCGCUUUCCUUUCAUCUCUAUUUGAUUUUUUUCCGUAGAUAUUUCUUUUUAGCAACCAAUUUAUUAGCUUUUUCACUUUAUUUGUUGAUUGUAGGAGUUGCACAAUAGUCUUACUGACGGAAGUUAUUUUUUUGAGCUGUAACUGGCACUGACUUUUAUGAGCACAAAAAUAACACUGCAUGCUGCUUCGUGACAAUAUAAAUUACAAUAUAAAAAGUGUUAAAUACUAUUGUUAGGUAGUUAGCAUUUAGAUUUUUGGAUUUAUAGUGUCCUGAAAAUUAUGCCUUUUGCCAGAAUAUUGAUGUUGCAAAUCAAUCUGAAAAUGCUCUGCGUCAUUUGAACUUCUAUCAUGGAGAGUCAAGCAACCAUGUUGAGCAUUCAAGGGACUUGAGUCCAGAUAAUCAGAGGCCCAUGAUAGGUGUGGGUGCCACACAGCAUAAUUCAGAGCUGAUGGAUGCAAGACCGGUAAAAGAUGAAUAUAUUGAUUCUAGCAAUGGUGUCAAUGCUGGUGGCGUUAAUUAUUUUCUCAAUGAGCCUUACUUGGAUGCUACUGAUAAUCCUCAAUUCAGUGAUGGAUUAUACCUAGAAGCUAACGACCUAUCAAGCACUGCUGAAGCUGAUUCUCAAGGGUUUGACAUGGUUGAAGAGUACCUUAAUUUCUUUGAUGCUAAUGAUGACAACUCAGAGUACCUGACUUUUGAUGCUUCUGAAAUUCUGGGGAGCGGAGACAACAAUUCUGCCCAAGCACCUCUCACAACAGAGGUAGAAGUUCAAUUUUGAACUUCUUUCUCCUCAUUUCUUUCUCUCAUCUUCUAUUUUUUCGGUUGGUGUAUUAAUCUGAUUUGUUACAUUUGCAACAGCAGGUGACUGAAGUAACUGAUCAAAUGUCCAUGGCUGGCCAGCAUCAAGCUGAAGUACAUGGUAAUGAUGUUGCAUCCACUUCAGAGCAAAAGCCAGAUAUUGUCAAAUCCGAAUCAGGUAAAAUUAUGUCAUUUCAGUUCGCAUCACUGGUUCUCCGUGUUCUCCUCUGUGUGGAUUUCAUAAGCUAAUAUGUAUUGCAGCUUAAGAUCUGUCGUACUAUAGUCUGUGCACUUGUUUUCCUUUCAUCCUUAUUUAUCUGGAAUCAUUAAUUUUUUCGUAUGGUGCAGAUGUCAAGUAUCCCUUCCUCAAACAGGCCAGUCAAAUGUUGGGCAACGUUGCUGCUGCUCCUGCAUUUGCCUCGGAAUUCCCUACAAAGGAUGCAGCUCUUCGACUCAAUUCAUUGGCUCAUCCGUCCAGUUCAGUUCAUGUUACUGCCGGUAUGAUCAGAAUCAGAAAUAUCACUUUAAGUGGAAGUGGAUUGGACUGGUCGGUUGGCAAGAAUGGGGAUAUGAAUAUUGUCUUUUCUUUUGACCUGUCACAAAAUGUCAUCAGUCCUAGUCCUACCAGUUUUGAACCGGCGGGUAACAUUUUCUCUGGUAAGACAGGGUCGGUGGUGUUCCGGAGCUUGUGGUUGUUGUUGUUCCUUUGGAUCAUAAUUCUUUCAGUGGGUUUUAAGAUUGGUGCCUGUGUCUCUGCCAAGUAAACAGGAUUACUGCAUCCAAAACUUUAUUUGCUGGUUAAAUUGAUAGGGUUAGUUGAUAUUGAUAUUUCUUUAUAGAUUAUUGACUUGGACACCACCUCGUUGCAGAUAUGUUGUUAUAUGUAACUUUUUGACUGUCAAAUUAAGUUGGCGUCUUAUAUACUUUAUACCAUUGUAACUUUUAAAUAUGUCCACACUUGUAGUUGAAUACGAUAAUAUUAUUUGAAAUUCUGGUUUCGCUUUCCUGUUAGAGUCUUGCCUUGAAAUAAAUCUAUAUGCUAUGUUAAAAUUACAAUUAGAUGCACUGUGCUGAUUGUUAUGAAGUUCUUUGUUCACAGCAGCAUUCUGGCAAGGAUGAAACUGUACCCUUCGGUGUACCCUAGAUCGUUUUUUGUUAUUUGCUUUCUUGCUUGAUGAGUUUUAUCUGCGUUCUGGGCAAUGCUGCUUAUGGUUUGCUAAGUACUAGAUGAAGCAUUCGAGGAAGAUCAAACUUGUUCCCAUUCAAGAAGUAGGAAAGUGGAGGUUUUUUUUUCUCUUUUGGGAAAUGAUAUGACCCGUCGCACGUGAAAUCCAGGCCUGUAGCAAGACUCUUGAUCAAGGCUUGCAAAUGAUAGCAUGGCAUUGCAAAUCCAACUAUUGAUAUGUUAUCCUAGCAAGCUUUAAAGGGCUGGCCUCAUAGUUACGGCAUUUUAUACCAGCCAAAUGGCACAACCCCCACCAUUCAGCGAACAUAUUUGUGAUUUUUUAUACCGUAUUAGAGUUUUUAUCAUUUGAAUCGACGGAGUAACUCUUCCAUUGAAGAAAUGAUUCAUCUGUCUUUCCUUCUAUUAAGAAUCUCAUUAUCAUCUAGUCCUGGCAGUCUCCGUGGCUCUAAAUAGCUGGCAGAAGUCUUCCAGGCAACAUUGUAUAUGACAAGGAGACUGCAACUACGGAUUAGAGAAACCUAAGGAUUUAGAAAAAUAUGAUUCACAAAUUAUCAUUCUGUGAGGUACAUACUGUGAUUAUAUAUAAGGACACAAAUAAUACAGAAUGUCAACGUUCUUAUGUGGUGUGGUAUAUCAGUGUCGAGUAUUCACACAUAAGGUAACCACGGCAAAAGCCAAGCCAAGCCAACUUGACUGGACACUUCCAAUCUCAAAUUUCAUUAAAUGGUUUAAUAUUGGCACGUUAUCCUGCACACUCGUAAUAAAUAGAUAGUUCAUAUUCUGCCUUCUCACUCUACAGCUUAUUGCAGUAGCAGUCAUGAUUUCCUAGAGCCCUAACCACGUUUACAUUUCUCCGGGAAGCAUCGUGUCCUCUGGUAGAUCACAAAAAGCAAUGCCCUGAAAAGAAAAAGGGGAUAUUAAUCUUAGUAGUAUUAACGAAAAGAAGAGCAAUUUUGUGGUAGAAAAAUAUUAAAAAUAUAUAUACCUCUCCUGUAAGAUGGGCCACACAUUUCUUCUCAGCUAGCAACUCUUGUUCGGUCUGCAAAGAAACGGUGUCAGUCACUUCUAAAAAUGGUUUAAAGAAUUUAUGCAAAGUCCAGGACAUUGAACUGGUUUGAAUUCUUUUUGGUUAGAGUUGGCACAAAACUUUAUUGCUCCUGGCAGCAAAAGCAAACACUAUAUGACUUCUCAGGUCGGUAUCCUAGUGUAUCAAGAGAUGAUUCCAUUUUAAAGGUUGUUUCCAUUUGUAUUCAUGAAACUAAUAUUUGACAUACGUGAAGGACAGAAAUGUAAUAACCAUUCUUAGCAACGUACACUUGGUUGAUCAUGGAAUUAUGCCAUUUUUUAAGUAUCCCAUUCAUAUUCUUAAAAUAUUAUGUAUAAUACUCCCUUUGGACAAGAUUGGAUUUAUCUUUCUUCUAUUGAAAAAAUUCUUAGCAGAAGUAAGUUGGAUCAUACCUUCGCUAUCCGCUUGCGAAGGUAGUCAUCAAAUAUUACAUCCUUGACAAGUUCAUAAUCACCAUCUCCCUGCAUACCGGUGUAACUUUCUUAGAAAUUAACUAAGUGCGUACGAGCACAGAUCUCUUUAUGUUUACAGAAAAUUUAGAAAAUUUAAAAAAAAAAAAAUUAUGAGAAAGAAGAUACUAGAUCAAACUUACUUUUGAUCUGCAUGGCAUGCUGAAGACAAUAUCCUCUGCUAUGCCGUAAGGAUUUCCAUUUGUAUAAACCUACAUUUGCAUUUUUAACUGUCAGAGAAAUAUAAAACUCUAGAAACCAAAGUCGACUGAAAUUUUUUAUUAGCAGAUGAGGUCUCGGUAUGAAGCUAUCUCCACCAAACAGGGCAGGGUUUGGGUGUUAGAAAAAAAAAAUUGUUAAUUGAAUAAAAGAAUUCACACUUAUGAACUCCGCAACCCUUUCAAAAACAAGUAAUGAAGGGCUUGAUAAAUAAUAUCCAGAACUUUCAGCUGUCUAAAUAUAUUGCAAUUUCUACGUAAGAGGUUGUUAGUUUUUCAACUUUCUUUUUUCACGCCACUAGGACAAGUAAAGAUAAUGAAUCUCCAACUAUAAAGUUUCUUGAGAAUAAAUAGCCUGACCUUUCUUAGAAGGAAAAAAGAGCAGGAAACAAUAAACUUACGCCAGAUGAAAACCAAUCACCCUCGGGUGUGGGAGUUACUAGAGACUUCAUGGCAUCAACAAUUGACACAGCAGUGGAUGCAGCUGAAGAUCUUCCCCAUUUCUUAAUCAGUAGUCCACCUCUCUGAAAAUCAAAUUUAUACUUGUUCCUGAAGGCUUAAAAGAGUUUAUAGGAAGACUAUGCAAUUCAUUACAAAUAAAAUUAAGGUGAAGUUAUCAACCAAUCUUACCUUCUGGAUUGUUUCAGUGAACCCCUCUUCCAGCCAUUUGUGGUCCUUGAUAAUCUCUUUCACAGGUAAGCCAUUGAUCCUAGCAUUUAGGAAGUCCGGAACCUGGCAACAGUUUCACAGAGUUCCUUUUAAAAAAUAUUGGAGUAAUUUGACCUAUGUACUAUGUUUACAGUAUGUGCUUGUUGACCUGAGUGGUUGAGUGGUUUCCCCAGAUGGUCAUAUUUGACACUUUGUCGUAGAAUACACCUGCUUUAAGGGCGAGCUGCACAAAAUAGCCAAUAAGCACAGCAACUAUUGACAGAUGGUCAAAGAAUAACUACUUAUGAUUUCUGGGUCUAGUGGGUAAGAGCUAUACCUGGCAUUUUGCUCUAUUUUCAUCUAAUCUAGUCAAAGCAUGAAAGUUCUUUGCGGGUAUGCUGGGAGCAUUUUUCAAACAAAUUAAAGCACUGCAAAUGAAAAGAAAUUACCAAUCAGAGAUAACACAGAGGAAAAAAAAGCCUAGGUAUCAACCAUAGUAGCCAUAAAGGCGAUCUUCUUACUUGGUGUUACAGGGGUUCCCCACAACUAUCACUUUGACAUUACGGGAUGCGACAGCAUUGAGAGCUUUUCCCUACAAAAUUGUGCACCAAGAUCAGAAUUGGAAAUUGUUGCAAAUGGGAUUCAGAAGUAGGUCCAAAAUGCAUAUACACAUUGAACCUGCUCUGCAAAUAUCUGGCCAUUGAUAUCUAAUAAGCCGGCUCUUUCCAUUCCUGGCCCACGAGGCUUUGCUCCAAUCAGAAGGGCCCAUUCUGCAUCUUCAAACAGCUCAUAUGGAUUUAUUCCGAUUUUCACCUCCCUCAACAAAGGAAACAAGGAAUCCUCAAGUUCCAUCGCCACUCCUGCAUACAUGAAGACAUUAAGUUGAUAGAUGCAUCUACAAGGCAAAAAAUAAAAAUGAGAUAUAGAUCUCCAGAAUGAAGGAAACCAGUCUAAACCUGUACGUUGUCAAUUCACUUCUUUGGGUCUUGGAGCAUAUUACAAUCACAUGCACUAAACAUAAAUUGAGAAACAAGGAUAUAAACUAAAAUUUGCAGCUUAGGAAAAGCCUACAAACCUCAGAUGACAAGGUUAAGUUCUCUAAUCAUCCAAUUCUUAUUCCAGCUGAUACCAAGCACCAGGUAUAACAUAUUGGGAUACAAUUUUUAAUUUUUUUUAAAAUAUUGGCAUAGUGGAUAAGAAUGCACGGUGGAAUUACAGUGACUUGAACAGAAUAUGAGACAACUAGAAUACAUUGAUCAAUCUUGUUACUUUCUGUAUUCUUUCAACAAAUUAAUAUCAUUUUAUACUAUCAGUUUUUUUCUACUGUACAGGAGGAUCAAUCAUACACAUUUUCCCUCAAUUAUAAAUUUCAUAGCAUUUACAAACAUAAGCACACACAGACAGAGAGAACAAGAGUUCAGGACAGCUUGUCUGAGAUUGUUGAUUAAAAUGAUAGUAAAAGGUAUAUUAGAGUACCAACCUUCAAGGGCCUGUAAGGACCUUUCAGAUCCCAGUAGUUUCAAUGCAAUCGGUUGAUCUGGCCCUAAAACCUCCCCAGCUGCGAGCUGGAAGAACAAGACAAGUUAGAAAUUCCAUUGCUAUUACAAGGUCAUUUACAUCACUGAAGCAAAUAUAUUAUCCCAAUAUAAAUACACCAAUAAUUUUUAGUUCAAGUUCAACAAUCUGGUUCCCAUAGGAAAUGAAUAAUUUUAUUUGAGGAGGAGAAAAAGAAUGGCAAUAAUUACAAUGUAUGGCCAACAGGGCAAUUAAUCUUGAUUUAUUCACAUAGGACUUUAUGAUGAAAUCUACCAAACAGCUUUUCUUUCAGGAUUAUAAGGCACAGCUGACUGUGUAUACAGUCUAUGAAUGGAAUCAUACGAAUGACAGUUCACUGUUAUUUAUUGUUGAGGACCCACUACCUCAUCCACACCAUUCUAGAGGAAGUUAAAAACACAAAUUCUAACAUCAACCAAAACAUAAUGGUGACCAGAGUCUAUCAAAAAUAAAGAAAGUUACAGAAGUUAAUCACUGUUUACUUGUGAUAAAAAAUUGAUUAACAGGAUUUCCUUACUUUGAAAAGUAAAUGAUUAGCAAUCAUCCCAGCAGCACCCGACACAGCAAUAUUAACCAUUUUCUUCCAGGAUUUUGUCUCCUCUUCCUGUAAAGACAAUUUGACAAAGAUCUCUUGUUAUAAGCACAAAUUGAACACAAUCAAUCAAUAAAGACAAGAUAUCUACAACCCUCAAGCCAAGUCAACAAACAAUAAUCAUAAUAAGCAGAACAAUUCAAUAAAGUGACUCAACAUUUACUCACAUCAACAACAAGAAGCACCAAUAAGAAACAAGCAAAUCAACAAACAAUAUCAAUGCACUUGUAUCACAAACUCCAAAUACAUGCAAAGCAAACCAUUCCCUCUCCAGAACAGAACACGCGCACAUAUGUAUACAUAAUACGUGCAUACUGACACGCCCAGGUAUAGCAAACAAUUAAAGAACUUACAGCUUUGAGAUCAUAUGUGAGACAGAAAACACCAUAGCAAUCGUUAGUCUUGCUCUUAGGAUCAUCUUGUUCAACUGCGACCGGGGCUUGAACUUGACUGAGACACAAAAACAAGCAAAUCCCUUUGAGAUCACUCCAAAAAAAAAGAAAAAAAGCACAGUACUAAUAACAGUAUUAACCAAUGCAAAGAAAUAUAUACACAUGUACAUAUAUAACUCUCUCUCCCUCUAUAUAUUUAUUUAAAUUAAAAAAAAAAAAAAACUGCUCGCUUACUUUACAGAGCAAGAGAUGGUGGGGUUUCUGGGUCGGAUGAUGGGUCGAAAAGCACGGCGACGGAGAGAUGAAAGGUGGGUCGAUGAGAGUGAGAGCUGUGAAGAGCUGAGACGGGUGGUUUCGGUGUAUGAAGAUGGUGAGAGCUGUGCCACCACCGCCAUGUCAGCAGCCAGCAGAGGUAUAUAAAGAAAGUAUUUCGAGAAAAAGAAACAGCAGGUGAACAGAAAAGAUUUAAAACUAAAAAGUCUUGUCUUGAGAGAAAGAUUCGGAAGGCUUAUGUAUGUAUGAGAAAUUGAUGAGAGUGAAAGGAAAGGAGGGGUUUAAUGGUUUGGAGGGAGAGGAGUAGAAGUGUAGAAGCGUAGAAGUGGAAUUAUGGAUGAUUUGAAAUAUUAGUAUAAGGCCGUGCAAGUGACACGUGUAAAGGCCUUGUCAUCCAUAAAAUCUCUAGUGGGUGACUUGGGCUUUUACAGUUUCAUGGUUAGUUAACUGUUUAUGGGGAGUUAGUAGUACAUAUUGGCUUUUUAACCUGUAAUUUGAUUUGUGCUUGUGGUGUUGAAUUUUGGCAUGUGAGUUUGUAAGAAAAGUCCAAUUGAAAGAAGUAUGGGGAUUGGCUUGCUUGUAUGUAUAUGCAAGCUUUGGUUUGGUGAUAGGAUCCAGCUAUCAAUUCUCUUUUGAAUAGUUGAUGAAAUUUUCUAUAACCAUGUAGAAAUAAACUCCUGCCAAUGUAAAUAUUGUCUCAAUUUUGUUGAUACUUGAUUAUACCUACCUAACUGGCUUGCUCAAUUACUUGAUCAAAUUUUGUGCAAACGUUUCUUCAGAUUACUAUAAAAAAAAUUUCAGAUUGACAUAUACUUUUUCAAGAAAUUUAGGUGUUGUUUAUCGUUGCUGUAUUGUAAGUUUAGUUUAGUCUUGAAAGGACAACAACUAAAACUUUAAUUGCAUGUUUAGUAUGUUAGAUUUGAGUGGAUGAGAUUAGACUGAAUAAGAUGACUCCAUUAUGUCAGAUUAUAUUUAGUAUUAUCUUGUGUUCGAAUGAUAGAUGAUUUGACCAAACUGAUUAAAUUAGCUUAAAAGAAUAUUGAAAUUAUUAGUAUAUCAAUUAUUAGAUAUUUAAAGUUAUUUUAUCGAACUUUCUGUGGUAUUGUUAUUAAUAGUAUGUAUUUUGUCGUUUAAAAUUCAUACCAUAGACAAGAUGACUAGUCGAAAGAGUGGAUAGAUAAUUUAUGACAUGUCUUUUGUAUAUUCAAAAUAUAGAUGGCAUGUUGUCAGAUUGUUACCACAAAGUAAAAGUUACAUAUCCUGUUGUUUAUAACUUCAUCAAAAUAAUAACGGCAAGCUGGAAUCACGUAAACAACUUUAUGAAAAUAAUGAUCAAAUUUGUCAUGAAAACUAUUUUUGGACUCUUAUUAUUAACUUAAGUCAAAUUAUUUUUUCUAUCACAUAACUAAAGUCUUAAGUUGAAUUUUCAAUAAGUACAAAUUUUUUUAAUUAUUUUUUUAAACUUUAUUGUUUAUUUUCGAACUCUUAUCUUUUAGUCUGUUUACGAGCUUUUAUCUCAAAUUUAGUUCAAUUUUAAUGUAAGAGGAGGUUCAUAAGCUUUUAGCUUAACCAGUUUUCUAAAGAAUAUGAUUUUCUAUCUCCACAAUUUACAGUAUUCUCUUAUACCAUAUCAGAAUGGAAAUAAUGCUAUAUUCGUUCAGCUGCAAUAUUAUUAUUUGGCAUUUCAUCACCAUAGGAAUAUAUACCAAGGCCAAUAUAUGAGUCAUUUGACUCUAUUCACCAAUUCUUCCUUAUCCAGCUUGGAAUGUUAUUUUGAGUGGCUCCAAGGAAAGCUACGUAUACCCGGAUCCCCAUCAAGAUCCUUUUCUUUUCUUUUUUCUCUUAAUAAGAAUGAAUAUAAAAAAAAUAAAAAUAAAAAGAAUGCAAUAUCCAACAGCCAAGAUCCAAAACCUGAAUGUCAUCUUCAUACUCGAUGCAUCCCACAUUGCUUCUCACAUUAUUUAGGAUAUAAUUUAAAAUAAAAAUUUGAAGUUUUUAUCAUUACUUAUGAUUGAAUGAUUGCAAAAAAUACGGAACAUGCCAACAUGGUCUAGAAAGCCAUUUAACUAAUUAAUUAAUUGAAUAAACACGAUUAACACAGUUUUUAACUAGAUAUACAGUUUGUCUGCAAUAAUUUAAAUAAAUGAAAUGUAAAUUCAAAGUGAUGAAAGUUUCCAUUGGAAAGCCAUUUGAUUUAUCAUGACUGACGAACAAUUAAUCCUUUUAUAAUUUUAAAUAUAUAUACACAUACACACAUAUAUAUAGAAUCAUUUUUUUGUUCGGAAAUCCCAUAUUUUAAAUUCGAAUUAGAAAUUUUUCUUUAUACACACACACUUCUAUAUACGUGAGGCACAACAAUGAAUUUCUGUCCAGUAAAACUUAAUUAGCAUAUAAUAUUUGUGUAACUGUUAUCAAAUCUCUUUUAAUCGAAUUGGAACUUUUUAAAAAAAUAUAUAUUAUGUACAAUUCAAUCUUCAAUAUAAUUGAAGUCCAACAUAUUAAAGUUCAACACAACUAAGAGCUAUUAGCACUGGUUAUAAUUCUUAUAAAACCCCUUUAUCUCUUAACCCUUAAUUAAAUUAAUUAAUUCCACCUCUUAUCAUAAUUAACAUAUAGGGAUGGCAAUAAAGCCAGAUUGGGAGGUCUACCACAUUUCUCACCCUAUUAAAAAUUUCGUCUUCAUACCCCAAUAAAUUUAGUAGGGGUAGGGAUGGAGAAUCUCUAAUAAAAAAUAAUUUUUCCAUCCUCAUCCUAUUUAUAGUAGGUAUAAAUACAUAUUUUCAGUAAACUAAAAUUUAGAUUUAAAUAAAAUCAUUAUCGUAUUAUAAAGUACUUAAAUUAUUUUUAAAAAUCUCUAAAAAUUUGAAACAAUAUCUUAAAAAAAUAUUAAAACUGUAAAAUGUUUGCACACACUUUUGUAUGUCAAGAUUAAGGUACAAUCAAAUUGUUGGCCUAUAGUAGAAUAUUUUUAACUUACUAAACUUUACUGAAAAUUCUUGAAGAAUGAGGUUUGAUUUGUUUGAAGAGAGCGCAACCUUAAAAGAGAAAAAAAAAAUAAAAAUAUUUAAUGGUUAAAUAAGAAUUAUGUUGUAGGUUUUUCAUUUAGUUAUUCUCUAUUUAUAUUAGAUAAAAAAAAUAUAGAGUUUAUUAACCAACAUUGUAAUUGAUAAAAUAAAAUUAUUAAAUAAAAAUUAAAAAAAUAUUUACAUAUAACGAUGAUUGGGAUGGGGGUGGGUGGGGAGUACAAAAUUAAAUCCCACCCUAUUAAGAAUUUGAAAUUAUUUUUCCUUCAUUUUUCAUAAAUUAUUCAAAAUUCACCAGUUGAGAAUUUUCUCAUCCCUAUUAAGAUAAAUGUUGACAUCUGAUCUUUCUUCUUCCUCUAAAGGCUCUGUUUGGUAUAACUUUUCAAGUAGAGCUUUUAUAAAUAGAGUUUUUAUUAAAAAAAAAUUUAGUUGUUUGGUUGUCAAUAAGAGCUUUUAUUAAAAAUUUAUGGAAUUACUUUAAUAGGCAAGUUUUUUAAAGUUAUAUUAUAAAAUAAUAAAUAAGUUGUCUAAUAAGUAGAAGAUAUUUGAGAUAUUUUGACAUUUAAAAAAAGAUUUUCAACCUCUACUCCCAAAAGUAAAAAAUUUGAGCUUUUACUGGUAGAGAUAACUCAUUUAAACUUCAAAAACUCUAUUAAAAAAAUAACCAAACAAUAAUCAAAAUUAUGAUAAGAGCUUAUGAGAUUAAAUAAGUACUUCUGACCAUUAAAUAAGUCAUAACAAAUAGGUACUAGCCCCACCUAUUUUUUGUUUUUGUUAAAUAAAUAAAACUUUUUUCUUUUUCUUUUUUAAUACUAAAGAAGUUUUUUUUCUAAAAUAAAUAAAUAAAUAAGCAUUUUGCAUUGAAUCGGCACUAAUUGUAGUAAAAGAAAACCUUUGUAAUCAACUUGAACAACUUAAAAUGAUAAAAAAUACCAGGGGCUAAAAAGUAGGGGUGGGCAAAAUAUCCGACCCGACCCGAAAAAUUUCGGAUUCGGAUCGGAUCGGGUUAUAAAGGAAACCCGAUCGGAUGAAGAUGGUGAAACCCAAUCGGGUUGUGAUCGGAUCGGGUCAAAUCCGAUCCGAUCCGCAAACCCGAUCGGGUUGCUUUAAAAACAAAAAAACCUAAAUCUAAACACACACGCCACCCACAAACAACCUAAAAAAACCUAAAUCUUUCUCUUCACUCUCUUCUUUCUCUUCUUUCUCUUCUUUCUCUUCUUUCUCACUCUCCGUGUUCUUUCUCUUCACUCUCUUCUUUCUCUUCUUUCUCUUCUUUCUUACAACUCACACAAACAACUCUCUUUUUUCUCUUCACUGUCUUCUUUCUCUUCUUUCUCGCAACAAAACUACAGACGGUUAGCACAACAGCGGGCCACAUGCAGCACACCACUCGACCAGAUCUGCUGCACUGACGACAGGAUCUGCUUGCUGCUGCAUCGACGGUUGCUGCACUUCACUUCGAUCGGAUCUGCUUUUCUGGUAGCCACUGACAAAACCCGUGAAGCCAUGAGCCAUUGACGAAACCCGUUGCCGCUUGAUCCAUCGGCUGCUGCUUGACCCGCGCGAAGCGAUCCAUGGUUGUUCUUCCAACGAGACUGAGACUGAGAUUCAUGACACCAAGUCCUCCAAGCUCACAACUUUUUCAAUUCUAUUUCAGUUUAUUUUUUUUUUAUGACAGUCACUGGAAAGUGGAAAUGGACUAAAAUGAACUAAUUGCAUAAAAGUGAUCUUGUAAUUAUUAAAUAAUUAUUAAACAACCCAAAAUUAACACAAAUGACUCUUUUUUGUCCUUAACCCGAAUUGACCCGAAAUUGAUCCGAAUUUUAGAUCCGAUCCGACCCGACCCGAAUAUAACCCGAUCCGAUCCGAUCCGAUUUAAAAUUCGGGUUGAGUUCGGAUGAGUUUCUCUCCAACCCAAUGAACCCGAAAUCCGAUCGGGUUGAUCCGAACCCGAUUUUGCCCACCCCUACUAAAAAGUCUUGACGCUCAUAUCUACAAUUACAAAAUUGCAAAAAAAAUGAUUCUUAAGACAUUCUCUGGAUGGUUACCUUUAGCCUGAGUUUGAGAAUCCUCUUCUUCCUCCGAGAAAUUAGGCUGUAAGGAUAUUUGUGGAACUAAAAUGGAUGUAAUUACUAGGAAAGAGAUUGCAAUUAAAUAUUUAAUAGGGGCAUUUAAAAUAGGGGUUUUAUGAGGGUAAUAAAGGUGUGUUAAUAGAUUCACUUUUUUUUAAUAUUAUAUACAAUUCAAUCAAAGUACAUUAUAAUUAAAGUCCACUCCAUCUUAAAGUUAAGUAGAAGAGGUGUCGACCAAUCCGAGUUAAAGUUAUUGGCUAAUCAAAUAUGAUUUAUUGUUAUUUUUAUUGCCUAAACGCAUGCGACUUGUUAAGUUUUUUGAAUUUAUAAAACAUUAUUUUAAAAUAAUUUUAAGCACAAAUGCAUUUUUCUCUUUUAACUCUUGUUUGGAAAGUACGUGAUUUAUAAACCAUACAUUCUUUAUUUUAAAAGAUCACCAUUAUUAAAGAAACGAACAUCUCCAUGGAUUAGAUCCAUUUAAAAAUUACACGUGGAAUCUUAGUUUUUAAAAUAACUUGCUUUGAACUAUGUAGUUGUGGUGAGUAUUAUGUGAAAUCUCAAUUUUCCCUAUUUUUAAUUUUUAUCUUAUGUUAGUGACUAUGUUUACAUUGCAAAGCAUAUAGUCAAUGACCAAAAAAAAAUUUUUAAUAAUGAUAAAAAGUAAUAUAAAAAAGAGGUAAUAUAAAAACUUGAAUGAAGUUUGUAAUUGCCUUAAUUAUUAGGACAAAUAGCACCUUUAUUUUAUAAAUAAAUCACAAAUGAAAGUGCCUCAAGUAUAAUUUAUUUAUUUCACUAUUUAUAUAAAAGAAAUUGCUUUUUCUUUUGAUCAAAGGAGUCUUGAAGAUUAAUAAAUAUGAUUUUGUUGAUGAUUUAUAAAGUAUGACUUUUAGAUAAUUUCGUAGACCCUGCUCUAUUGUUAAUAACACUGACUUAGUUUUUUUUUAAAAUACUUUUGUGCCAAUAAUAUGAUUUUAUAUUUUUAUUGUGAUAUGACUACAUCAAAUUUUAAAAAUAAAAUUAUUAAUUAAUCAAAGACCAAGUACUCUCAGAUAUUCCUUUUUAUUAUCAGAGAAUUCUCAUAUUCUGCUCUCAACUAAUUAUGACAAGGAUAGAUUACAAAUAGAUAUAGGGACAUUGAUCUCCUCCCCCUCCCCCUCCCCUUCACUCCCCUCAGCCUUUGCCACUUAGGAAACAAAAGCAUCAUUAAUUAGUUAUAAAUUGAUAUAAUGAUUUAAUGUCCAUUGACAAUCUAAAUUAAUCAACACAUAGGUAAACAAUAGCUUUAUUUAUUAAUAAAGAUAAAGUAUACGUAGACGUAAAUAAGAAAUUUUUUUAUAUAUCUCAAGAGAUUUUAGUAUUUGAAUGUCCUUUAUUCAAUUUAUUAAACAUAAUACACAAAAGUAGUACUACACUUAACUACUGUAGUUAGGAUUUCUCCCAUAUUGAGGGACAACAACAAGAUCAAGAUUGUCAUCUAUGAUUUCAUCAUUAAUAGUAGUCACCCGAAACCAUUUACCCUCCGACCAUUUGUUCCCACCGAAAAAUUCAUAUUAAAAAAAAUUAUUCGUAAAUGCAAACAUUAAAAUAAUAAUCAUAAAUGGUAUUCAACUGAAAUUAGCCUAAAACCUGCGCAAGAUGUUUCCAUUUUCUUCAUAUCAGAAAAGAUAUCUGCUUAUGGCGAAAAGUAAUCAAAACUCAAAAUUAAGCUGUUCUUGCGAGUUCUUGCUUCUGGUUUGAUGUAACAUACAUGUGUAGUGCAUUGUGUAUAUAUAUAAUGAAGUAGCCGAUGGUGGGUGUGAUUGGGCAUUGUUAAUGCUUGAAAUUAAUUAAUUGUACAUAAAUAGCACGGGCCCCAUGGCUCACUAUUAACUAAGGGAAAUUUACAAAAAUAGCCAAAAAAUUAAGCGUUUUUCAACUUUAACCCCCCCAAAUUUUUUCUAUCAACAUUAGCCAAAUCACCAAAUUGUGGACAAAAUUGCCCUCCUCAUUCUCACGUUUCCCUCAAGCAAAUUCCUCCCCCUCUCACCCAAAAUAAAAUUUCAUCACCGGAAUCCUGUAUACAUUGUCGACGGCGUAGAUCGGCAUCGGAGGAAGUUUUCGGCGGCUGAAACAAGCUAAAUCACGUUGAAAAUCUUCGGAGAUCUCCAAAAUCAAAGACAAAAAUUGGAAACCCUAGGUGAGUUGUUAUUGCCGUUGUUGUUGUUGUUGUUGUUGUUGAUGAUGAUGUUGUUGUUACUGUUGUUGUUGUUUGGGUUGUUGUUGUUGUUUGGGCUGUUAUUGUUGUUGUUGUUGGUGUUUAAUGGCGGUGGUGGGAGAUGCAUGUGGGAAAGGGAAGGGAAGAGAAAGGGAAGAGAAAUGGAAGGGAAAGGGAAGGGAAAGGGAAGUGAAGGGGAGCAUCCCGCGCGCGAGGCCGUAGCUGUCGCAUGCGAGAUGCCCGCGGCAUGCGCAUCUCGCGCACGCGAGGCUGCGCCUGUCGCACGCUAGAUGUGCGCGGCCUCGCGGGCGAGAUGCGCAUGCCAUGCGUAUCUCGGGUGCGACAGGCGCGACCUAACGCGCGAGACGCAUGCCAGCCUGCGCACGCUUGGCGCAGCCUCUUGGUGCCUGUCGCACCAAGAGACAACGCGAUGUUUGGUGCUGCCUUUUUUUUGUGCUUUUGUUCAUAAUUUAUUAAUAUAUAAUACUUUUAACUUGUACCAGAUAAAUGGGAAAAUCAAAAAUAGCAUUGCAUAACCCACCCGGACCGACGAAAGAACCAGGUUUGGAGCAACCAAGUUUGAAGGCAAAACUGGAGCAAGACUCACUAGGAGAUUAACUGUUGUCCUCCUCCUCGAACGGGCCAUCGGAGGAAUAUGUCGGUUGUCUCUAUUGUUAAUAGGAAUAUCAUACUGAUGCUCAUCCUCAUCAUUGAUAGGAAUAUUGGAAUUACCAAUGCCCCUAUCAUCAACUUCAGUAUUGGAGUUCAUGCCUUGCACACUAUUGAACGGUUCCAAACAAGCAUUAUCAGCUUCUGUGUUGUUGGUGUCAUAACCAGGAUCAUCAUAACUGCGGAACUCAUUAUUGUGAAAUGGAGAGUAAUGUUGAUCUAACGAUGUCCCUAAUGGUAACACAUUUUCUUCAACAUCCACUAAUGUAAUGCCAUUAUCAUCAAUAGUGUCAUUGUUUUCGUUGAUUGGUGAGUAACGUUGCUGGAACGACAUUUAUUGUGGUAACACCUUUUCCUCAAUAUCGGGGACAGACUCGUUUGCUUUAAACGAAGUUUCACUUUCCACAAGUGGCUCAGGAUUUUCGGCCGGAACUCGAGGAUCUGUGGUGACAAAUAUAGGGAGGCAUCCAUAAUUGACCACAUCAGAGGCCAUGUGCAGCACAACAUUAACCAUUUCAUCAUUAAAUAUGUCCAUAGGUAGUGAACAUGCACGAUACAUUGUGUUACUAGACCUCAAAGUUGUCUUCAUCGUCGAACUAUAUACAUUAGGAUUUAUCUGUAAAACUUCAUACACCCUUGCCAGGAAUUGCUCAAACGUACAAUCUUUCCGAACUAAAAAUGAUGUAUUCUUCACAUUCACGUACUCCGUACGGCCAUCUGCUAACGUCUCCCACCAACCGUCGUAACAUAAUUGAAGUACAACGGAAUCCAUUAAACCUAAAAAUUAUUUUAAAAAAACAAAAGAGAUAAGAUUCCACACUACAAAACCUAGUAAAGUGAAUAUACAGUACAUUUAUGUGGAUGAAAUGAAGUAUACAAUUUUGGAUUUGCUUCGUCUCAUCGUAAGCUUCAAAACGAUAUAUUAUACGCCUAAAACGGACACAUGUAGCCCAAGUUAUUACUUUUGGAAAAUAGCUCAAAUUUAGUGAGACAGGCAGUGGGACAUGUGUCUGUCUCACAUAAAACCAGUGGGAACAAGUGAGACAGGCGCCUGUCUCACAUAAAACCAGUGGGUUUAUAUGUGCGACAGGCGCCUGUCCCACUUGCCUGUCGCACAUAUUUUGGUGAGACAGGCAAGUGGGACAUGUGCCUGUCUCACAUAAAUCUGCUGGUUUUAUGUGAGACAGACGCAUGUCUCACUUGUUCUGGGCUUCUAUUUUGCUCGAUUUUUUAGGGGUUUCAAUUAUUGAUUUUCAUUUCUCAACUCAAACUAACUACUUUAACAAGUCACAUUGUUUUGUUAAUGAAAAAUAACAACGUUUGCAAUAAAAACUCACUUCAAUUUCGAACUCAAAUGAUAAAAUCAAUAGAUUAAAAGUUUAGGUUAUGGUAAGAGUAUAAACUAACCUUAAGAAGCUCUCCAAUUGAUAAUUAGAUCUUCAAUUAUGUAAUGCUUGUUUGAUGAAAUUUAUUAAUUUAUUGAGAGUGAUGGAGUUUGUUGAGUGAUGAAGUUUGUUAGGUUGAAAAGAGAAAAGUGGUGGGAAGUGCUGGAAUUGAAAAGGGAAAAGUGGCAUGCCUUUGUAAAUUUGAUGAAAGUGAUGAGGGUAAUGUAGUCCAAGAAUAAGGUAUUUGGCUAGUUAUGAUAGAAAAAAUUUUGAGGGGUUAAAGUUGAAAAACACUUAAUUUUUUUGGCUAUUUUUGUAAAUUUCCCAUUAACUAAGAAUAAUUGUAGAUAGUAAUCAUAGUUUUUAACAUAGCUUUUGACUAGAUGUGUAUGCAUGGUUUGUCCGCAUUAGUUAUACAUUGAACAUAGUUUUGACAUUUUAUUAUUAUAAGUAAAUAUGUAGUUUGUCCCCAGUCAUUCGGUAUAUAUCGAACAUAGUUUUGACAUCUUAUUUAGUAGUAAUAACUAUUUACUUAAUUUUAUAAUUUUUUUAAAAAUAAAAUACCUAAUUUGUUAAUUUUUUAAAAAAUUUUAUGUUGUUUUUUUGAAGUAAAAUUUUUGGGGCUUAAAUAAACUAUUUUGUCUCUACUAGUGAAUAUCUAAAUUUUGAAUUUUUGGAAGUAUAGAUUGAAGAGCUUUUGUGAAAAGUUUAAUUGUCUAAAAUAGUCAUUAUUUAUUCUACAUUCUUAUUUUCUUCUUUUUUAUAACAUAACUUUAAGAACUUGUCUAUUAAAAUAAUUUUAUAAUUAUUAAUAUCACUACAAGAAAACAUGCAGUAGAUGACGGGAAAUAAUUGUCAUAAAAGUGGGUGCAUGACAGACAGUUCAUCCGUCAUCUAUAUUAUUGUCAUUAAUUUAUGAUAGAAUAUUUUCCGUCAUGAAUUCAUGAUGGUAUUUUACAGUCAUAUCUUUGUCACACAAUAUUUUAAUGUGAAUAAAUAAAUAAAUUAAAAUUUGAAUUUAUUUAAAUUUUCGCGCCAUUUUUUUAAAAUUUUGGCGGAUUAUAUUAUCAUUUGUAAAUUUAUUAUUCAAUUUUGGCGGGAAAUUGUUUAUGACAUACUUUAUGAUGAGUAUUUUCCGUCAUAAAGUUAUAUUGUUUUAAAAAAUUAUGAUUAUAAUUUAUUUGUGAAUUCCUGUUUACAAAUUUCAUUAAUUAAUAAAAAUGAAUAUCAUCAAAAAACUAAAAGCAAUUAAUAUUAAGGAAUAUUAUCAUUUUACUACCUAAGUUUUACUGACAUAUCAUGUCAGUACUAAGGUUUGCAUAAAAGUGCAUUUUACUACCAAAGUUUUGCGCUGUUAUCAAUUCACUACUAUUCCGUUAACAACGUUAAAAAUUUACUGAUGUCAUAAGGGCAUCAAAGACAUGUCUAGCUGUAAGAGUAAAAUUGUUUGUUAAUUUGAUAGAUAAAUUAUCAUUUUACUACCAAAUUUUUAGGGAAAUUAUCAUUUUACUACCAAACUCUUAGGGGUAAAAUUGACUUUUAAUUCAAUUUCCGUUAAACAUUAACUUUUUCUUAACGGAAUGGUAAUGAAUUGAUAACGGCGCAAAACUUUGGUAGUAAAAUGCACUUUUCAGCAAACCUUGGUACUGACAUGAUAUGUCAGUAACACUUUGGUAGUAAAAUGAUAAUUUCUCUAAUAUUAAUUAACAUCCAUUCAUUCCAACAAGUUAAUUUCAAAAUAAAUACAUAUUGUAUCUAAUAUUGUCAUCACUACCAAUACAUAAUCAACAUCUCAAAUUAAAAAAAAAAACAUUCAUCAAAUUAAACUUCAAGAAAAGCAACUCAAAUUCCAACCACCAAGUCAACAAAACUUCUAGCAGCAAUACAUCGUCCAACGGCAAUAGUCCAAUAGCCAUAUACCCAGCAACACUCCAACCCCAACCCAGCAAACCAAUCUAUUCAGAAUCAAUCAAAAUACCCAAUGUUAUCGAAUGCACAACAUGUACACUACAAUCUUAACAGUAACCAUUAUAAUUUGACACUAUAACUUUAAUUUCAACAAAUUUUUACAACUAAUAUUUAUAGUUUCAUACUCAUACUAAACAUUUUGCUGAUGCGACAAGGAUGUCGGAAAAAUGGUUAGCCCACUCUAAACGAACCUCAUCUAAUUCAUCAUGUGUAUACUUUCUUUUCAUUAAACUAUUAAUCACAAGAUUAUUGAGAGGUCAAACUUCAAAAAUAAUGUGACAUAUAUGGAAUAAAAGAAAGUUAAGAAAUCUCAUCAUCAACUUACAUUGUUCAUUAAAAAACUAACAUAUGCUAUUAUUUCCUUCAUGUACCUUAACACAUAACAUAGCCACACUCCAAUUUUGUGAUAUUUUGUUUCGGAGCCUGCUGAUGCAAAAAAAAAAAAAAAAAAAAAUCUUACAAAAAAUAAUCCAUUUUAGUUAAGGUACGUAAUCGAUAGGCGCAUAUAGUUUUUGUAGGGUUACUUUUUUUUACCUUCACAAUUAUCAUCUUAGUAUUAUAAUUCCAUUUUUCCUUACUAUCCUCUACUGUGAAGAGUGUCAUGGUGCUGUAAAAAAAAAAAACUAAAUUGUUAUCUCUUAAUCAUAUUAAAAAAAUUAAAAUAUCAAUUGCAUGAAAUGGAUUGACAUACAUAAAUUUUAAGGAGAUGUUCUAAAUCAGUAUCAGGACUGGACUGCAUAGAAUCCACACAAAACACUUCCUUUUUCACCAUGUCAAACACAACUAAUACCCAAUGGAAGUUACAAUAGGAGAAGACAAUGGAAAAAAAGCAUAAAACAAAACCAUGAAUUAACAAAUAGCUGUAAAAAUAAUAUAAAUUCAGAAACAACUAUAAAAGUUUUAAAUGAAAAUUAAAACUUACGAAGAAUUGUAUGGCAUCAAAAUGAGUUGUCCGUUUUUGGCUUUUUCAAGCGGUCGUGAAUAUCCUCAAACUCUUUUCGAGCGAAAUUUUUAUACAGCCUUUGGAUUUGUUGGGCAAACCAAACUUAGACACAUGAAUCCAAAUGGUUUUAUUCCUUUUCUGGUUUGUAGAAUGGUGGAAUCCAAUAUCCUGGAUAGAAAAGUAGUGCAUCAAUAAAUUAUAGUAAGUAAAUUAAACUCUAAUGAGUGGAAGAUAUACAAGGAAAAGUACUUAAACCAAGAAAAAUUUGGGUAAUUUUAUAAUUAAAGUAAGCUUAUGUACAUCUCCCUCACUGUCAUCAUCAUUGACCAAAUUAUGUAGGAAAGUGGAUUUCCUACAUCUGAAUGGCGAGGUGUCCUCUUCAAUUAUUUGCAAAUUUCUCGCAUGUCAUCUACUAAUUUUUUUCCAAGCAUCUAGCUCCCUCUCUCUCUCUCUCUCUCACUUCAGAUGGGUCCACGAAGGCUAUGAAAGUACAUAGAAGCAUAUAUAAAUUUUCUCAAACCUUGCAUAUGACCAGUUCGAGGAAGCUUUCACAAUGUUUGUGCAAGUAAGUCAUUUCUUGCAUCCGAAUUCAAAGAGUCUUUUUUGUCCUCCUUUUCUAGCAUUUCCUAAUAGUUCACCAUAAAGAAACUAUCGCGUGUAUCCUCAAAUUGAUUUUCAAGUAGGAAAGAAAGCAUAGACUAGUGUUUUCUUCUCUAUUGCGUGUAUCCUCAAAUUCAUUUUGGAUAGAAUAAACAAAUUAAUUUAUUUUGACGUCUUAAUUUUUAUUUUUAUUUAUAUAAAAAUAUUCUUAAUUAUAAAGAUCUUGGUCCUCUACAAGUUGCAAAAAUUAGCCAACUAAUAUUCACAAAGUGCGAGAAAAUGAUUACACUGAAACAACCUAAUCAACAUAUUUACAGAGAAAAGUUAUAUUUUUUUAAUUAUUAAAGCCAAUACGAUCCCAUUUCAUGAAGCUGACAAAACGGAAACAUUAUUGAGUUUACUGAAAGAAGAAACUAUGUUUCUGAUAAUGAUAAAUUUAAAAGUCUGAAUGAAUAAAACUAAGGUUUUGAGUCCUUUUUAUAACAAGCUUAAAUAUCGUAAAUUUAUCAAAAUAGGUAAAUCUGAAAUAUAAUAUAAUAAUUAAACUCUUCUAAUCAAAAUAAGAAAAGGAAAAUAAACGGCACUGAAAUCCAAAUUCUAGAAAGAAAGAUAAAAAUCCUAAAAGAAUCAAGAAAAAUAAGAAAAAGUUUUAAAACUAGAAAAUGACCAGAAAAAAAAGCAGAAUUUUCGACCGACCACGGGGUACAACAACUAAGACAUUUUAGAUUUUAUUUGCCUCGUCGUAAGAUUUGAAAUAAUAUAUUAUACGCCGAAAACGGACACAUAUAACUCAAGUUAUGACAUUCUGAAGGUACCCUACUCGCGACACACAACACCCUACGUCAUAAAUUCUUUGCUUUUUUUUUUUUCAAUUUCUGUGGAAGAUGUCAGGAUUUAUAAAUCAACUUCAUCACGUCACGAAAAGAUUUUAAUCAAGUAAAAACAAAAGUCAUGGAAGAGUCAAUUAAUAUUAUCAUUUUUCUUUGUUCAUACCAUAUUGUAAUCACAUGCAUUACAAUAUUAUGCUAAAAAAUAUAUAUCUUUUUUAAUCAUUUGUGUAUUAUCCAAAUUAUAAAAUAAAAUUUAUGUUCGUGAUAAUGUAGGAUUUUUAUAAAAUGGUUAGCUUCCAGAAUAUUAGAGAAUAAAUAUAAGAAUUAAACAGGUAAAAACAGCUCCUAGAUUUUCUGUGGGAAUUUGAGCCUUUGGAUUAUUUGCACAGAAACAAAUGUAUCAAGCCGAAUGUGAAAUAUGUCACUGCCGGUUUUAGGGCUAAUAGCUGCCGUUUUAAUAAUUCAAUUGCCAAUUUUAAUUAUUUAUAGGGCCACGAGAUUUAUCUCUGCUGGGUUAGUGCAAAUAAAAAUUAUUAUUAUUAUUAUUAUUAUUAUUAUUAUUAUUAUUAUUAUUAUUAUUAUUAUUAUUAUUAUUGUUGUUGUUGUUGUUGUUGUUGUUGUUGUUGUUGUUGUUGUUGGCUCAAUCAAGAUUCAAUGCAUUGAAUGGUUGAAAAAUGGAAAAUAAUGUUUUUAACUUUCUUAGCUUCUGUUAGAAAACAAGAUCAUCUUGUUUUCACUCGAAUUAAAAAAAAUAUAUAUCCACAGAAAUUGAUGCCACUAAGGCAAUAUCAAACGCACCCUUAUAUGCUACGGAUCUAUUGAGAUUUUGGACCAUCCAAUAAAAUACAUUACAUGUGUUUUAAGUUAAUUUUAGUCUCUAAUAUGAUUGUGAAUCUUAAAAAAAUUUAUACGUUACAUUAAUUGGACGGAUGCAGAAUGAGUACCCUCAGGGAUUUUCUCCAUUCGGGGAGGGUAUGGGAAUAAUUUCAUACCCAAUUUCUUAUUCGGGGAGGGGACGGGGAUGAGGUGGAAUCCCCAUCCCCUACCCAUUUCCCCAUUUUAAUUUUUAAUUUUAUUUUAAUUUUUUAAAAUUACUAGUAAAUAAAUAAUAAAAUUUAAAUUAUAAAAUUAUAAAUAUUGGAAAAAAUAAAAAAAAUAUCAAAAUAUUUAUAUUAUUAAACUUUUAGGCCUAAUUAACUAAUUAAAGUCCUAAAUUUUUAUUUAGGACAUUAAAAAGACUGAGUAGAUUCUAUUAGCCCAAAAUUUUUUAUUUUUAAUAUUCUUUAAAUAUUUUAAACUUAAAUAUAUUUUUUAUUUAUUUUUAGAUGUUAUAAUUGCCCACAGCGAAUCACAAUUUUAAUAUCUAAUCUAAUCUAAUCUAAUCUAAUAUUUACUCUUGAUUUGCUCCGAUUUAACUAUUGUGUUGUAAAGGGAACAAUCCACAUUUAUAAAGUGCCCACGCCACCAUUGAAAAAGUUAAUUUUGAAUCUAAAUUCGAUUUUAUUUGUAACAAUUUUGUAUUAGACUAUUAAUUUGUUCAUGAUAGUUUGUAAAAGAAGUUUGUAUCCCUUGCAUGCUGCGUUACUUACUAAUUUAAUGUAUGUGACUUUUGUAAUCGAUAUUAAUGUAAGAUAUAUUUCAAACUUUACUUUUAUUUGAAUUUUUUAUUUUAACAUGAUUAACUCAAAAAAAAAAAAAAUGUAUUAGUUAUUCGGGGAUCGGGGACCCUCGAGGAUCCCAUGUUAUUAUUCGGGGAGGGGAUGAGGAUUCUCUCAAGUAAUUCUGAUGGGGACGGGGAGGGGACGGGGACAUACGCAAAAUAUCGGGAAUGGAUACGGGGAGAUUGGUCCCCUCCCCUCCCCUCCCCAUUGCCAUCCCUAAGAAUGACAUAGUACACCCAUCUCGUGUAAGUUUGUCUCGCAAUGAUCAACUGUUUGGGCCUUUUGGACGCUGCCUUUCAUUUAUGUGAAAUUGGCCUUUCCUUCGAAACCCAACUAAAACUGAGUGAAAAGAGUCGCUAAAUUACUGAACAAUAAUAUCUUGCUAAGUUGAGCAUACUACGAGGGAAUAGGAUCCUCUCAUGAUCUGAAUUCUAUUGAGUUUUUAAAGAUCUUUUGUCAUGUGUCUUUUAGUGGUAGUGUAUGGGUAAGAUUUAAUUUCUUUUAUUUUUUAUUUAUUAACAACCAAUCAAUAAUUUAGUUAUUUGUCACAUCUCGGGAUCAAUCAUACGACAAGUCAGUUUCUGUAGAAGAACUGAUCGAAUGUUGUGUCUCAGCUGAUGAGUUACCGAGUUGUCAGCUGACGCAGCAGUACUCUACUCGUCAGGCACAACGGGGACGAGUAAAAGUGCAAUAUUAACGCAUGCAACUGUUGAGAUGGACGAUGGAUGUAAAUAUUAUAUACAAUUCAAUCAAAGUAAAUUAAAAUUAAAAGUCCACUCCAUCUCAAAGUUAAGUAGAAGACAAGUCAACCAACCUUAGCAAGAUUUAUUGACUAAUUGAACCAGACUUAUUGUUAUUUUUAAUAGUUUUCUGAUCAGAGAUUUUAAAGUACGGAAAAGUCCGGAAAAACUUUAAAAUCGCACAGCUUUAAAGGCUUACAGUUUAAGCCUUUAAAACCAUGCGGUUUUAAAGUUUUCCUAAACUUUCCCGCACUUUAAAAUUUCGGACUAGAACAUUUCUCUUGUUAUUUUUAUUGCCCAAACGCAUGCGAUUAAAUAUUUUUUUUUGAAUUUAUAAAACAUUUAUUUUAAAAUAAUUUUAAGCAUAAAUGCAUAUUUCUCCUUAACUCUUAUUUGAAAAGUACAUGAGUUUAUGGAAUAUAUGUUCGCUAUUAAUAAAAGAUCACCAUUAUUAAAGAAAUGAACAUCUCAAUGGACCUAGAUCCAUUUGAAAAUUACAUGUGAAAUCUCAGUAUUUAGGAGAACUUGCUUUAACCUAUUUAAUUGUAGUGUUUAUCAUGUGGAAUCCCAAUUUUCCCUAUUUUUAAUUUUUAUUAUAUGUUAGUGAAUAUAUUUACAUUGCAUAGCAUAUAGUCAAUGACAAAAAAAAAUCUUAAUAUUGAUAAAAAGUAAUAUAAAUAAGAGAUAAAAUAAAAACUUGAAUGAAAUUUAUCGUUGCCUCAAUUAUUUGGAGAAAUAGCACCUAUAUUUCAUGAAUAAACCACAAAUGGAAGUGCCUCAAUUAUAAUGCAUUUAUUUCAUUAGUUAUAAAAGAAAUUGCUUUUUUAUUUUGUCAAAAAAUUCUGAAGAUUAAUAAAUGUGAUUUUGUUGAUGAUUUAUAAAUUAUGACAUUUAAAUAAUUUCAUAGAUUAUGCUCUAACGCUAAUAACAACAACUUAGUUUUUUUUUCUUUUUUAUACUUUUGUGCCAAUAAUAUAAUUUUUUAUUUUUUAUUGUAAUAUGAUUAUAUCAAAUUUAAAAAAUAAAAAUAUCAAUUAAUCAAAGAUUGAAUACCCUCAUAUUCUUCUUAUUAUUUGAGAAUCUUCAUAUUCUCCUCUCAAGCAAUUAUGACAAGGAUAGAUUAGUUAUAAAUUGAUAUAACUAUUUAAUGUCUAUUGACAAUCUAAAUUAAUCAACAUAUAGGCAGACAAUAGUUAUAUUUAUUAAUAAAGACAAAAUAUAAAUAGACACAAAUAAAAAAAUCUCUUAUAUAUCACAAGAGAUCUUAAUAGUUGAAUUAAACUAAACUGACUGUUUAGCACAUGUCCUUUAUUUAAUUUAUUAAAUAUAAUACAAAAAAGUGACAUUAUACUUAACCACUAUAGUCAGGAUUUCUUCCGUAUUGAGGGACAAUAAGAAGAUCAAGAUUGUCAUAUACGAUUUCAUCAUUAAUAGUAGUCAACCAACACCAAUGACCCUCCGACCAUUUGUUUCCACCUGAAAAAUUCAUAUUAAAGAAAUUACUCAUAAAUGCAAAGAUUAAAAUAAUAAUCAUAAAUGGUAUUCAACUGAUAUUAGCCUAAAACCUGCGCAAGAUGUUUCCAUAGUCUUCAGAUCAGAAAAGAUAUAUGCUUAUGCCGAAAAGUAAUCAAAACUCGAUAGUAAGCUGCUCUUGCGAGUUCUUGCUUCUGGUUUGAUAUAACAUACAUGUCUAUUGUAUAUAUAGAAAUAAAUAGCCGACAGUGGGUGUGAUUGGGCACACAGUUAAUGCUUGCAAGUGAUUAAUUGCACGCAGUUAGCACGGGUCUCAUGGCUCACUGAUUAACUAAGAACAAUUGUCGAUAGUAAUUGAACAUAGUUUUUGAACAUAGAUGUGUAUGCAUAAUUUGUCCGCAGUCGUUUAUAUAUUGAACACAAUUUUGACAUCUUAUUAUUAUAAGUAAAUAUAUAGUUUGUCCACAGUCAUUUAUAUAUAUUGAAGAUAAUUUUGACAUCUUAUUUAGUAGUCAUAGGUACUUAUUUAAUUUUAUAAGUUUUUUUUUAAAUAUUUUUGUUAUUUUUUUUUAGUUGCACUUUCGAGACUUACAUAAACUAUUUUAUCUCUACUGGUAAAUAUUUAAAUUUUGAAUUUUUGGAAUAGAGAUUGGAGAAUUUUUUUUGGAAAGUCCAAUUGUCUGAAAUACUCAUUAUUUAUUUUACACUCUUAUUUUUUUUUUAUAACAUAACUUUAAAAACUUGUCUAUUAAAAUAUUGUGGAACAGCCAAUUAAUAUUAUCAUUUACCUUUUUUCAUACCACAUUAUAAUCAUAUGAAUUACAAUAUUAUGUUAAAAAAAUUAAAUUUUUUAAUCAUUUGUGUAUUAUCCAAAUUUUGUAUUUUAUAACUUAUGUUCGUGAUAAUGUACAAACGCUCUAUUUAAGGAUUUUUGUAAAAGUGUUUUCUACUUCUAUUUUUAUUUCUCUCUGUCACACAAUUCCCAAAUGUAGUCAACAGAAAAUGGUUAGCUUCUAGAAUAUUAAGAAUAAAUAAGAUAAGAAUUGAACGGGUGAAAACAGCUGCUAGAUUUUCUGUGGGAAUUUGAGCCUUUGGAAUAUUUGCAUAGAAACAAAUGUAUCAAACGCACCCUUAUAUACUAAUUCAUUACACGUGUUUUAUGUUAAUUUUAGUCUCCAGUAUUUUUGUGAAUUUUAAAUAAAUUUAUACGUGGAAUACAUUAAUUGGACGGAUGCAGAAUGACACGGUACACCCUUCUCGUGUAAGUUUUUCUCACAGUGAUCAACUCUUUGGGCCUGUUGGACUUGGGCUUUCAUUUAUAUAAAAUGGCCGUCCCUUUGAAGCCCAACUAAAACUGAGUGAAAAGAAUUGCUAAAUUACUCUAGACCGUGUAUAAUAGAUGUGUACACAUCACUCUCUUUCUGUUCAUUCAAUUUAAAAUCCCGCCACAACAAAAAUGUUUACAACUAAAAUUUGACAUUAAUUAAACAAUUUUAUUUUCAAUAAAUGAUUUCAUUCAAAAGCUAAAGACGAGGCUCUACAAAUUGUGGAUAAGAACGUAUGAAAAAUCUUCCAUCUAAAUGACUCGUGACUCAAUUGUAAAAUAAUUUAUGUCAAUUAAUGAGCCGCAAUAUUAAAUAAAAAAACAAGCGAUAUAUACAACUCAAAAGAAUCAUUAGAGUUCCUUUUAGAAUGAAGAAAUAGUAAUCCCAUCUCAAUCACUAGAAAUUUUAAAAUAAAUUAAGGUGAUGUUUGGUUUAAAGAAAAGUAAAGAAAUGAGAGGUGAGGAAAGUGAAAGAAAGGAGAAGAGAGCACAUUGAAACUCUUUUCUAAUGCUUGUUUGUCAUAAAAUUAUACAAAGAAAUGAAAUGCUCUAUUUUUUGUUUGGACAAUUUCGCUCUUUAAUUUUAAAAUUUCAAUAUUUCUCAUAAUAUAAUUCAAAAAAAUUAUACAAUAAAUUUAUUUAAUAUGCUACAUAAACAACUAAAAAAUUAUUUUAAAUAAUCUAGUUAUUUUUAUAAUUUAAUUCUAUUUAAAAGUUUACUAAUAUAAUUUUAUUUAAUAAUUAAUUUAAUUUAAUUUGUUUCUAAAUAAAUAAAUUAAUAUAUUUUAAUUUUUAAAUUUUAUUUGAAAGCCCUAAAAAAAAGUAAAGUUGCCGCUACCACCAUUGGAGCCACCGAAUGUCGCCGUUAACCAUUAUUGUGCCAUGUCAUUUCAACUCCAGAAUUAUGUGAAAAUUAUCAUAAAUUGACAAUCUAUAGAUUGAAGCAACUUAUUAGACCAAAAUACUUUAUGUUUGUUUGGAUCUAGGAAAGUUAGAAAGUUUUUAAAUUUUUUUAAUUGGAUUUGAAGAAAAAAAAUCAUUUUUCACUUGUGUGACAAUAUAAUGAUGUUGCUGGUUGGCCGACGAGUCCAACAGUACUGGUGGUGACAUCCCACGUGCAGUGACGAUGGCAGCUGUGGCGAUCUGACAGCAGGAGCGUCAGCAGUCUGGCGACUGUUAAAUUUUAAUGAAACAAAUAAAAUGAUUUUUUUAAUUAUUUAAAUAAUUACUUUAACUUUUAUUAAUAGAAAAUUAAUUAUCUACAAUAUUAAAUUGAUAAAAUAAAAUUAUAAAUAAUAAUAUUUAUAUGAUAACAUUAAAUAAGUUAAUAAAAGAUUGAAGGGGUAAUUUUGGAUAUUAGGCUUCCAAUAGAAGGGGAAUUUAAAUUCACUAUUCUUUGGAGUGGAAUCUAAAUUUCAUCAUCAUGAUGUAUAUUAAAUUCUAAUGGAAAUUAAAUUCUUAUAAACUAUGGUCAACCAAAGAACAUAAAUAAGAAAGGAAUUUAAAUUAAUUUUUUUUUCCACAUCCUCUCUUCCAACCAAACAUUACCUAUGUAAUAGAAUUCAAUCCAGCAAGGGCUAAAUUCAAAAUAAAUACACACACGUCAUCACUCAUCAGUGGUGAUGUGAGGAAUUCAAUCCAGCAAGGGCUAAAUUCAAACAAUAAUAUAAUUUUAAAAUGUCAAGAAAUAAAAUAAAAAUUUAUUAAUAUAUUCAAUUUAAUACAUUUAUAUUUGUUCUAGAUGUGUUUUCAUAUGUUUAAAAUAUUAAAGAAUAAAUUUAUCAUCAAGCUACAAAAUAUAUCUUUUUUUGUAUGUAAUUAAUUUCUCCUAUUCGAUUUCAAUGAAGAUUUUUCACAAAAUCCAUGGCUGAAAUUGCCCUUUCUACUAUAGUUGUGGCAACUAGUAAAUCAAUAUUAAUAACACCAAUAGAUAAAUUAAUUAAUUCAAUUUAUCAUUUUUAACAUCAAUUAAUUUUCUUACUAGUUUACCAAUCCAUUUGAAUCCUAAAUAUUUAUUGUCAGAAUUGACAUAUAUAAUGUAAACAUUAAUUUGUAUUUCAAGUGUCACAAAAUCCAUUAAAGAAAAAUCAAUUAUAUAAAACUCAAUAGGAUGAGUAGUUUUGUUCUUUUGUGGAGGAGAUUUAAGGUCCUAUGGAUUUCAAAAUAAUAAUUUUUUUUUGGAGUAACUUUUGAAAAAUCAAGUUAUUGUUGAGCUCUAACGUGUCAUCGCCACUGCAUAUCAUAACAUCAUUUAAUUGUUAUAUAAUGAACAUGAUACAUGUUAUGUAUAUUAGAAUUUCGCCUCAACCGCAGCUUCUAAACCAAACUUAUACACAACUGCCUCAUCAUAGUCAAUGUCCUCAGGAUCAUUAAACACAUCACCUGCAACCAACAUAUCACUUCCCCUCAAAAUCACAAACAACCAGCACCAAAAUCCAGCUAAUCCCCGAGCUCCGAUAUCCACUGUUUUACACUUGUACUUGCAUCAAUAUUUGAACUAAAUGUGCAAACCAAUUUAAAUAUGUAAAAAACCAUCUCAAAAAGCAUAUUGUUGAUCACAUUUAAUUUUUUAUCAUUAGUUUUGUUUUUUUCCUCCCCUAUUUAUUAAAGAAAUGAAUAUCUCAAUGACCUAAAUUCAUUUGAAAAUUACAUAUGGAAUCUCAGCUUUUAGGAGAGUUUGCUUUGAGCUAUGAAAUUGUGGUGUAUAUAAUGUGGAAUCCUAAUUUCCUCUAUUUUUAAUUUUUAUAAUAUGUUAGUGAAUAUAUUUACAUUGCAUAGUAUAGAGUCAAUGACAAAAAAAAAUAUUGAUAAAAAGUAACAUAAAUAAGUGAUAAUAUAAAAUCUUGAAUGAAAUUUGUGAUUGCCUCAAUUAUUUGGACAAAUAGCGCCUUUAUUUUAUGAAUUAACCACAAAUGGAAGUGCCUUGAUUAUAAUGCAUUUAUUUCAUUAUUUAUAUGAAACAACUUGCUUUUUCUUUUGUCAAACGAUUUCGAAGACUAAUAAAUAUGAUUUUGUUGAUGAUUUAUAAAGUAUGACUUUUAGAUACUUUCAUAGAUUAUGCUCUAAUGUUAUUAACACUAACUUUUUUUAAUAAACUUUUGUGCCAAUAAUAUGAUUUUAUAUUUUUAUUGUGAUAUGAUUAUAACAAAUUUAAAAAAUAAAAUUAUCAAUUAAUCAAAUCAGAUAUUUCUUUUUAUUAUCUUACAAUCCUCAUAUUCUUUUCUCAAGUAAUUAUGACAAUGAUGGUUAUAAAUGGAUAUCGGGAUAUUGAUCCCCUACCCUUCCAUUCCCUCGCCUUUGCCAUUUGGGAAACAAAAGCAUCAUUAAUUACUUAUAAAUUGACAUAACGAUUUAAUGUCUGUUGGCAAUCUAAAUUAAUCAACAUAUGGGCAAACAAUAAUUUUAUUUAUUAAUAAAGAUCAAGUAUACAUAGACGUAAAUAAGAAAAUCUCUUGUAUAUUUCAAGAGAUUUUGAUAGCUGAAUUUAAACAAACUGAUUGACACAAGUACUAAAAGUACAUGUCCUUUAUUUUAUUUAUUAAACAGAAUAUAAAAGAGUAACACUGUCCUUAACCACUGUAGUCAGGAUUUCUCCCGUAUUGAGGGACAACGAGAAGAUCAAGAUUGUCAUUUAUGGUUUCAUCAUCUGUAAUAGCAAAGUGAGUGUAGAAACCCUCCGACCAUCCAUUCCCAACUGAAAAAUUCAUAUUAAAAAAUAUUUGUAAAUGCAAACAUUAAAUUAAUAAUCAUAAAUGAUAUUCAACUGAAAUUAGCCAAAAACCUGCGAAAGAUGUUUCCAUAUUCUUCAAAUCAGAAAAGAUAUCUGCUUGUGGCCAAUCGUAAUCAAAACUUCAAAAGCAAGUGAGUUGCUCUUGCGAGUUCUUGUUUCUAGUUUUGAUACAACAUACAUGUAUAGGGUAUAUAUAGAAUGAAGUAGCCGAUGGUGGGUGUGAUUGGGCAUUGUCAAGGCUUGCAAUUAAUUAAUCGCACACAAUUAGCAUGGGCCCCACGGCUCACUGAUUAACUAAGAAUAAUUGUUAUAUACGAAUUGAACAUAGUUUUUUUAAAAUAGUUUUUGAUUACAUGUGCAUGUAUAGUUUUGCCCGCAGUCGUUUAUGUAUUGAACAUAGUUUUGACACCUUGUUAUAUGUAUAGUUUGUCCGCAGUCAUUUAUACAUAUAUAUAUUGAACAUACUUUUGACAUUUUAUACUAAUUGAACAUAGUUUUACUUUUUGUAAAAAUUUUCAUUAUCUAAAAUACUUAUUAUUUAUUUUAUAUUUUUAUUUUUUAUAACAUAAUUUUAAAAUUUUGUCUAAUAAAGUAAUUUUAUAAUUUUUAAUAAGAACUCUACUUACAAUUAAUUUUUUUUUAGUAAAACCUCUACUUAUAGAAAUUCUUCUUUAAUUAGCUCUAUUUAAAAAAUUAUACCAAACGAGACCUAAGUACUAAGCUAUUGGUUGUUUUUAAUAUAUAUAUAUGUGUAUAUAUAUUUAUGAAAACUUAGAUUUUUACAAUGGCAACCUUCGUAGAAUUACACAUAUUUUGGUGUGUUUCCCCAAAUUACUUUGCAAAUUAUGUGUCAUAUUUGAUUUUCAGGCAUGAAGGAAAGCGGAGACUAGUGUUUUCUUCUCAACUGUGUGUAUCCUCAAAUUCAUUUUGGAUAGAAUGAGCAAAUUAAUUUAUUUUGACGUCAUAAUUUUUAUUUUUAUUUAUAUGAAAAUAUUCUUAAUAUAAAGACCUUGGUCCUUGGUCCUGUACAAGUUGCAAAAAUUAGCUAACUAAUCUUCAGGAAGUGAGAGAAAAUGAUUACACCGAAAUAACCUGAUCAGCAGAUUUACAAAGAAAAAGCUUAAUUUAUUAAGGCAGAUACAAUCCCACUUCAUGAACGUCUUUGCUUCUAUUUUUUUUUUUUUUUUAAUUUCUGUGGAAGAUCUUGGGAUUUAUAAAUCAAUUUCAGCACGUCACGAAAAGAUUUUGGUCAAGUGAAAAAAAAAAAAAAUUAUGGAGCAGUCAGUUUAUAUUAUCAUUUCUCGUUGUUCAUACCACAUUCUAGGACAGAAAUAUCUUGUCCCCCUUAUACCAAACACCCAAUUUUGACAUUUUCUUCAACAAUCCCCAUUGUUUUGGGUAAAUAAUAAAAACUAUAAAUUUUAAAGAUUUUACACAAUAAGCCCUAAUUAAAAUAUAAUAAUUUUAGAAUUAUAAAAAAAUUAUUUGGCAUUUUCUUCAGCAGUCUCUAUUGUUGUCUGUAUUAUUAAAAACUAUAAAUUUCAAUAAUUUUACAUAAUAAACCCCAAUUAAAAUAUGAAAUUUUAAAAAUUUUUAAAAAUUAUUCUCUCUCAGUCUUCGUCUCAAUCAUUUUGUUUUGCUUUGAUCUUAAUUUAUUCAUUUAUCCAACGUAUAAUUCUUAUAAAAUAUCAAAAAAUAGAGAGUCUUCUAACCACAUAAUUAGAUUAAUUUCUUGAACACAAAAUCUCAUAAAAAUAAUGCUUGCAUUCUCUUAAAAGAAUUCUAUUGUGUUUAUUUUUAUUUUUUUUACUACUAUAAUAAGAAAAUAACUAUAUCUUGCUCUCUAUAAUAAGAUCUAAACAAUUAGGGUUUGUUGAAUGUGGUUAAAGAUGGUGACAUAGGCUUAUUUUUCUAAAAUUUAAUUCCAAUAUAGUGUUUGGCAUGAAUAAGUAAAUUAAGAAUAAUCCAGUUUGUGCCAACCAAAUUAUCAUAUGAUAAUUAAUUUUUUGCCCUAAGGGGACCCUGUGAAUAAAAUUUUUAGACUAAAUUUAUAUCUUAUGCUGACAAUUAUAAGGUUAUUUGAUGUUGAGCAUAUUUAUAGAAAUAAAAGUUAAGUUUCGUUUAUUUAAGUAAAAUAAUUAUUUAUCCUUAUAAGUAACACUAUCUUAAAUGGUAAAACAUUAAAUGGGUAUUUUAUUUUAAAAGAAAUUAUACUAAAAAUGGGAUUUUUUGUAAUUGAUAUUUUAAAGAAAUGGGUGUGUGGAGUAUUUUAGCAAGUUAAAAUAAUCCAUCCAUAUUUUUGUAUAUCUAAAUAUAUUCAUUUAUUAAAUUACCCUUGACCCAUAUAAAAAUUAUAAAAUAUUUUGAUGGACUUAUGUGUCAAAAUCUUGAAAUUAAUAAAUCCCAACAUCUUGCACAGAAAUUGAAAUUAAUAAAUUAAACUUUUCUUUGUAAAUCUGCUGAUUAGGUUAUUUCGGUGUCAUCAUUUUCUUGCACUUCUUGGAUAUUAGUUAGUUAAUUUUUGCAACUUGCAGAGGACCAAGGUCUUUCUAAUUAAGAAUAUUUUCAUAUAAAUAAAAAUAAAAAUUAAGACAUCAAAAUAAAUUAAUUUGUUUAUUCUAUCCAAAAUGAACAUGAGGAUACACAUAGCUGGGAAGAAAACACUAGCCUUUGCUUUCUUUCUUGCUGAAAAUCAAUAUGACACAUCACUUGCGAAGUUAUUUGAGGAUUCACACAAAAAUAUGUGUAAUUCUACGAACGUUGCCAUUGUAAAAGUAUCAGUUUUCAUAUUUUUUUUUAAAAAAAAUUUAAAAUUAAUAACUUAGUACUUAGGUCUUGUUUGGUAUAAUUUUUCAAAUAGAGCUAAUUAAAAAAGAGUUUCUAUAAGUAGAGGUUUUACUUUAAAAAAAAUGUUGUAAGUAGAGUUUUUAUUACAAAUUAUAAAAUUAUUUUAAUAAAUAAAUUUUUAAAAUUAUGCUAUAAAAAAUAAAAAAAUAAAAUAAAUAAUGAGUAUUUUAAAUAAUUAAUCUUUUUACAAAAGUAAAAGUAUGUUCAAAAACUAUGUUCAAUUAGUAUAAAAUGUCAAAAGUAUGUUCAAUAUAUAUGUAUAAAUGACUGAGGACAAACUAUACAUAUAAUAAGGUGUCAAAACUAUGUUCAAUAUAUAAACGACUGCCGGCUAACUAUACAUGCACAUGUAGUCAAAAACUAUGUUCAAUUCGUAUAUAACAAUUAUUCUUAGUUAAUCAGUGAGCUGUGGGACCCAUGCUAAUUGUGUGCGAUUAAUUAAUUGCAAGCCUUGACAAUGCCCAAUCACACCCACCAUCGGCUACGUCAUUCUAUAUAUACCCUAUACAUGUAUGUUAUAUCAAAACUAGAAACAAGAACUCGCUUGCUUUUGAAGUUUUGAUUACGAUUGGUCACAAACAGAUAUCUUUUUCUGAUUUGAAGAAUAUGGAAACAUCUUUCGCAGGUUUUUGGCUAAUUUCAGUUUAAUACCAUUUAUGAUUAUUAUUUUAAUGUUUGCAUUUACAAAUAUUUUUUAAUAUGAAAUUUUCAGGCGGAAAUGGAUGGUCGGAGGGUUUCUUCUCUUUCUUUGCUAUUUCUGAUGAUGAAAUCAUAUGUGACAAUCUUGAUCUUCUCGUUGUUCCUCAAUACGGGAGAAAUCCUGACUAUAGUGGUUAAGUGUAAUGCUACUCUUUUGUAUUAUGUUUAAUAAAUUAAAUAAAGGACAUGUACUUUUAGUAUCCAUGUCAGUUAAUUUGUUUUAAUUCAAUUAUUAAGAUUUAUGGAGAUGUACAAGAGAUUUUCUUAUUUACGUCUACGUAUAUUUUAUCUUUAUUAAUAAAUAAAACUAUUGUCUGCCGUAUGUUGAUUAAUUUAGAUUGCCAAUAGACAUUAAAUCGUUAUAUCAAUUUAUAACUAAUUAAUGAUGCUUUCGUUUCCUAAAUGGCAAAGGUGAGGGAAGGUAAGGGUAGGGGAUCAAUAUCCCGAUUUCCAUUUAUAAUCCAUCAUUGUUAUAAUUACUUGAGAAGAGACUAUGAGAAUUGUAAGAUAAUAAAAAGAAAUAUCUGAUUUGAUUAAUUGAUAAUUUUAUUUUUUAAAUUUGUUAUAAUCAUAUCACAAUAAAAAUAUAAAAUCAUAUUAUUGGUACAAAAGUUUAUAAAAAAAAAGGUUAGUGUUAAUAACAUUAGAGCAUAAUCUAUGAAAGUAUCUAAAAGUCAUACUUUAUAAAUCAUCAACAAAAUCAUAUUUAUUAGUCUUCGAAAUCGUUUGACAAAAGAAAAAGCAAGUUGUUUUAUAUAAAUAAUGAAAUAAAGGCAUUAUAAUCAAGGCACUUCCAUUUGUGGUUUAUUCAUAAAAUAAAGGUGCUAUUUGUCCAAAUAAAUGAGGCAAUCACAAUUCAAAAUUUUAUAUUAUCACAAUUCAAGAUUUAUAUUAUCCAUUAUUUAUAUUACUUUUUAUCGAUAUUGUUAUUAUUGUUUUUGGGUCAUUGACUCUAUACUAUGCAAUGUAAAUAUAUUCCCUAACAUAUAAUAAAAAUUAAAAAUAGGGGAAAUUAGGAUUCCACAUUAUAUGCACAAUAAUUACAUAGCUCAAAGCAAACUCUCCUGAAAACUGAGAUUCCAUAUGUAAUUUUCAAAUGGUUCUAGGUCCAUUGAGAUAUUCAUUUCUUUAACAAUGGUUUGAAUGGGGGAGGAAAAAAAACUAAUGAAAAUAAAUAAAAUGUGAUCAACAGAAUUAAUAUUCUUUUUGUGAAAAACCAUAUUUAAAUUGGUUUGCACAUUUAGUUCAAAUACUAAUGCAACUACAACAAUGGAUAUCGGAGCUGGGGGAUUGGCGGGAUUUUGGUGCUGGUUGUCUGUGAUUCUGAGGGGAAGUGAUAUGUUGGUAGUAGGUGAUGUGUUUAAUGAUCUGGAGGACGUUGACUAUGAUGAGGCAUUCGUGUAUAAGUUUGGUUUAGAAGUUGCGAUUGAGGCGAAAUUCUAAUAAACAUAACAUGUAUCAUGUUUGUUAUAUAACAAAUAAAUGAUGUUGUGACAUGCAGCGGCGAUGCCAUGUUAGAGUUCAACCCAUUCUUGAUUUUUCAAAAGUUACUUUAAAAAAGAUAUUAUUAUUUUGAAAUCCAUAGGGCCUUAACUCUCCUUCACAAAAAUUAAAAACUACUCAUCCUACUGAGUUUUAUCUAAUUGAUUUUUCUUCAAUGGAUUUUGUGGCACUUGAAAUUCAAAUUAAUGUUUACAUUAUAUAUGUGGGUUUUGGCAACAAAUAUUUAGGAUUGAAAGGGAUUGGUAAACUAGUAAGAAAAAUAAUCAAUGCUAAGAAUGAUAAAUUGAAUUAAUUAAUUUAUUUAUUAGUGUUAUUAAUAUUGAUUUACUCGUUGCCGCAACUAUAGUAGAAAGAGCAAUUUCAGCUAUGGAUUUUGUGAAAAAUCUUCAUUGAAAUCGAAUAAGAGAAAUUAAUUACAUACAUUAAAAAAAUAUAUUUUGUAGCUUGAUGAUAAAUUUAUUCUUUAAUAUUUUAAAGAGUAAUUUAUACCCUACCCCCAAAUGAAUUGACAUUUUGCACCGCGCCCCCAAAAGAUUUGACUCGUUGCAUUGCACCCCCAAUUCCGUUAAUUUUUCACUUAUUUCUAACGGCUCCAUCUGAAUUUUGAUUGAAUGAAAAAAAUACCUCUCUAUAUGAAUUCAAAUAAGUUUAAUUACACAAAACCUAGUCCAACAUUUUAUAUUUACGUUAAUACCCUCCAAUAAAAGGUUCAUUAUAGAGCACAUGCCCCUUUUAAAACAAAAACAAAAUUUUAAGCUCAAUUAAUUUUUUUAAAAGGUUUUUUUUUCAAUUGCAAUAAAAAAAUAAUUCUUGUUACAUAUACAUUGUCACAACUAUUAUUUUUCCUUUAAUUUUUUAAAGAUUUUAAUUUCAAUGCAAUAUAGAGAAUUUCUAUUAAAAUUAAUUUAAGGAAUGAACUUCUAAUUUUACCUCUCCACCGUUAAACUUAACUGAGAAAAUAACGGAAUUAGGGGCGUGGUGCAACGAGUCAAAUCUUUUGGGGGCGCAGUGCAAAAUGUCAAUUCAUUCCGGGGUAGGGUAUAAAUUACUCUAUUUUAAACAUAUGAAAACACAUCACAAUAGUUAUAAAUGCAUUAAAUUGAAUAUAUUAAUAAAUUUUUAUUCUAUUUGUUGACAUUUUAAAAUGAUAUUAUUGUUUGAAUUUAGCCGUUGUUGGAUUGAAUUCAUGGCAUCACCACUUAUGACAUGUUUGUAUUUAUUUUGAAAAAACACCAUGUAAGUAAUAGUUAUAUUAAAUUUAAUUACACAUAUCAUAUAUAAAUUGAUUGAUCCUAUUACAUGGAGAAUAAAUAAGAUAAGAAUUGAAUGGUUGAAAAAAGCUGCUAGAUUUUCUGUGGGAAUUUGAGCCUUUGGAUUAUUUGCAUAGAAACAAAUGUAUCAGGCCAAAUGUGAAAUAGGCACUGUCGUUUUUAGGGCUAAUAGCUGCCGUUUUGAUAAUCCAAUUGCCAAUUUUAAUUAUCUGCAGAGCCACAAGAUUUAUCUCCGUUGGGUUAGUUUAAACAAAUAAUAAUAAUAAUAAUAAUAAUGUUGUUGGGUCAAUUAAGAUACAAUACAUUUACUGGUUAAAAAACGGAAAAUAUUGUUUUUAACUUUUCUUAGCUUUUGUUAGAAAUCAAGAUGAAUUCACUCGAGUUAUAAAAACUCGACAUUAUUUGUUUCGAAAUAAAUUAUGAUAUGAUACAAAUAAUUUCUUAAUUAAAAUAUUAAAAUUUUAUUUGAAACCCCACAAAAAAGAAAAGUAGAGUUGUCGCAGCCGCCAUUGGAGCCGUCGCAUAUCAUCACUGGCCACCACUAUACCAUGUCAUUUCAACUAGAGAAUUAUAUGAAAAUUAUUAGAAAUUGACGAUCUAUGGAUUGAAGCAACUUAUUAGACUGAAAUACUUUAUGUUUGUCCGGAUUUGGAAAAGUUAGAAAGCUUUCAAAGUUUUUUAAUCAGAUUUGAAGAAAAUAAAUUCAUUUUUUUUCACCUCUAUGACAAUAUAAUGACGUUGCUCAUUGGCUGGCGAGUCCAACAGUAUUGACAGUGACAUCCCACGCGGUAGCAGCGACAUAAGCGACUGUCAAAUUUAUAUUUCUAUUUUUGUAAAUUAAUUAAAAAAUAAAUUGAUUUUAUUAAAUUGUUUAAAUCAUUACUUUAACUUUUAUUAAUAUAAAAUUAAUUAUCUACAAUAUUAAAUUGAUAAAAUAAAAUUGAAAAUAGUAAUUAUUUGAUGACAUUAAACAAACCAAUAAGAGAUUGAAGGGGUAAUUUUGAAUGUUUUAACUUCCAAUAGAAGAGAAAUUUAAAUUUAUCACUCUUUCAAGUGGAAUCUAAAUUCCACAUUAUGAUGUAUAUUAGAUUCUAAUGAAAAUUAAAUUCUUAUAAAUUAUAGUCCACCAAAUAUUGGAAAUAAGAAAGGAACUAAAAUCACUUUCUUUUCCCCCUUCCUCUCUUUCCAACCGAGCAUCACCUAUGUAAUACAAUCAACCAAUGUAUAUAUGAUAUGUGUAAUUAAAUUUAAUGUAACCACUAUUUGCAUGGUGGUUUUUCAAAACAAAUACACACAUGUCAUUAGUGGCGUUGUCGGGAAUUCAAUCUAGUAGUUGCUAAGUUCAAAAAUAAUAUAAAUUAAAAAUGGUCAACAAAUAAAAUAAAAGUUCAUUAAUAUAUUCAAUUUAAUACAUUUAUAUCUGUCUUAGAUGUGUUUUCAUAUGUUUAAAAUAUUAAAGAAUAAAUUUGUUAUCAAGCUAUAAAAUAUAUCUUUUUCUGUGUAUAUAGUUAGUUCCUCCUAUUUAAUUUUACUGACGAUUUUUCAAAAAAAUCCAUGGCUGAAAUUACCCUUUCUACUGUAGUUGUGGCAACUAGUAAAUCAAUAUUAAUAUCACCAAUAUUAAUGAAUACAAUUUAUCAUUCUUGGUAACAAUUAUUUUUCUUACUAAUUUACCAAUCCCUUUCUAUCCUAAAUAUUUGUUAUCAAAACCCACAUCUAUAAUGAAAACAUCAAUUUAAAUUUUAAGUGCCAUAAUAUCCAUUGAAAAAAAAUCAAUUCGAUGAAACUCAAUAGGAUGAGUAGUUUCUAUUUUUUUGUGCGAGGAGAGCUAGGGUCUUAUAGAUUUUAAAAUAAUAAUAUUUCUUUGGGAGUAACUUUUGAAAAAUCAAGUAGGGGUUGAACUCUAAUAUUAGCAUUACCACUGCAUGUCAUAUCAUCAUUUUCUUAUAACCGAUAUGAUACCUCUAAUAUAUUUUAGAAUUUCACCUCAAUCACAACUUCUAAACCAAACUUCUACACGACUGCCUCAUCAUAAUCAACGUCCUCAGGACCACUAAACACAUCCUUCCAUUCAAAAUAAAAAGCGAACAGCAUCAAGAUCUCGCUGAUCCCCGAGUUCAAGGGUAAAAGUUGAAAACUUUGAUUACGGGGCCGGAGUGAAUAAUGUAUAUAUCGUUUAGAGAUAUUUUUUAUUUCUAUUAUAAUUUAGGAGAUAUCAUGUAUAUUUAAAAAAAAAAUUGCAAUUUUUAUAGGGGCCAUGAUCCACUCUAGUUUCCAUUAAGAUCUGCCCUUGCCCGAGCUCCAAUAUCCAUUGUUGCACUUGCAUUAAUAUUUGAACUAAAUGUGGAAACCAAUUUAAAUGUGUACAAAACCGUCUCAGAAACCACAUUAGUUUUGUUGAUUACAUUUAAUUUUUUAUCGAGUAAAAGCCCAUUUAGUCCUUAUAUUUUAAGAUUAGUGUCCAUUUAGUCCCUAUAUUUUUAAAAAUGUCUUGAAACAUCCCUACCGUUAAAGUAUUGAUACCCCUACCGUUACUUUUUAUUUCUUUUGACUUACUUUUACAAUAUUACCCUUUUAUAAUAAUUUUUUUUGUUUGGACAUUAAUAAAAAGAAAAUAAUUAAAUUAUCAAUUUAACCCUAAAAAAAUUAUAUCAAUUUUUUUGCAAGCACCAUUUUCACAUUUGGUAGUUUGCAUACAAUUUUUGAAAAUUUAAAAGUAAUAUAAUUUUUAUUUUUAGGGUUAAAUUGGUAAUUUAAUUUUUUUUUAUUAAUGUCCAAACAAAUUUUUUUUUAUAAAAAUGUAAUAUUGUAAAAGUAAGACAAAAUAAAUAAAAAGUAAUGGUAGAGAUAUCAAUACUUUAACGAUAUGGAUGUUUUUAGGUAUUUUUAAAAAUAUAAGAACUAAAUAGAUAUUAAUCUUAAAAUACAGGAACUAAAUAAGUUUUUACCAUUUUUUAUCAUUAGUUUUAUUUUUUUUCUCCCUUAUUCAAACCGAAGCAACAAUUUUGAUUUUAUAUUAAAUUCUUGUACAAAGUUCUUGUCAGUUUCUUAUUAUUACGACAAAAAAAAAUUCCAAAUAAAUAAAAAGCUAUCGAUUACAAAACAGGGUCCGGCUAUGGUACCACUGUGGUACCAUACCACAGUUGGAUCCAGCCAUUAGAUCCAGCUAUGGGGACCACUGUAGGCUGGAUCCAAUGGCUGGAUCCAGCUGUGGUAUGGUACCACAGUGGUACCAUAGUUGUGCCCUACAAAACAAUAGAAAACUAGUCGCAUAAAGUAUUUUUGAGAUAAUGAUGCCCAUUGCCCAAUGUCCUAUUCUCGACGUUACAUCUUCGAUUCUAAUUGAAAUUAUUCUAUAUUCGGAUAUUCCAUGACUUGGUCACCCCGCCCUUGCCCCUGCCGGCUACUACUCAUAUACUUACAAAUAAUUAUUAUCCUUAAUCUCUGUAAUUACCGAUGUUAAUCUCUGUCUUACGACAAACAUAAUUUUCAUUUAAUUAAUUAAAUAUUUUUUGAGACUUUAUUAUUUUAUUAAAGUGAGGAUGUCAAUAAAAUAUAAAAAAAAUACAUAUUUUAAUACAUUAGAUACUAUUAUUAUUAUUUUUAUUUGUUAUAUAUGUGUGUGUAAUUAUAUAUAUGCUAACAUAUACGUUUAUACGCCUCACAUAGCUUAUUAGCGUUAUUGCUACAUCAACUGUUUCUAGAAGUAUAAAAGUUUUUAUUUGUUGAAAAUGUCGGCCGACAUAUCGGAAGAACAAACCGGCAAGUCGUCCGGAUCGAAAUUCCCGAACGGCGGUUUCGAUUCGGAGACCGGAAUUUACCAUUCGCUCAUCCAACUCGGUGAAAAUUACAGAAUACCCACCAGGACAGGCCUUGACACGGCCACAUUUGUGCUGUCACGGUUCCCACAUCCGGACCUUGCUGAGUCACGAGUCGCACUAAUCGACUCGGGAACACACGAGCGAGUAACAUACGCUCAACUCCACCGGUCAAUUCGUUCGCUCGCUUCCGGGCUCUACCACGCUCUCGGCGUCAGAAAAGGCGACGUCGUUUUUGUUCUGGCACCAAACUCACUGUUGUAUCCAUCGAUAUGCUUGGCUAUAUUCUCACUCGGAGCAAUACUUUCACCCGCAAAUCCCAUAAACACCGAGUCAGAAAUCGUUAAACAGGUCCGUGACUCGGGCGCCAAACUCAUUAUCUCCGCCUCUGAGGAGCUACAAAAGCUGACAAAAGUCAACGUUCCAAUAAUCGUCACAUCUCGGGAUCAAUCAAACGACAAGUCGGUUUCUGUAGAAGAACUGAUCGAAUGUUGUGACGCAGCUGAUGAGUUGCCGGGCUGUCAGCUGACGCAGGACGACACCGCAGCGAUACUGUACUCGUCAGGCACAACGGGGACGAGUAAAGGUGUGAUAUUAACGCAUGCAAAUUUCAUAUCGAUCAUGCAGCUGUUGAGGUGGACAGUGGACGUAACCCACGCACAAAACGACAUCUUUUUGUGCAUGAUACCUAUGUUUCACAUUUACGGUCUUGCAUUUUUUGCAACGGGGCUGUUCUGUUGUGGGGUCACGAUUGUUGUGAUGCAGAGAUUUGAUUUGCAAGUAAUGAUUGAGGCUAUUAAGACUUACCAGGUGAAUAAUAUCCCAUUGGUGCCCCCAGUGAUAUUAGGGUUGGUGAAAUAUUGCAAGGACAGCAGCUAUUUAACUUCAUUGAGAAGGGUUGGUUCAGGGGCUGCACCGUUGAGCAAAGAGCUGGCUGAUGAGUUCAGGGCGAAGUUUCCUUGGGUGGAGCUCCGACAGGGGUACGGGUUAACGGAGAGCUGCGGUGCAACGACUUUUAUGGUGUCGCCCGAGCAGGCGAGGGCUCGGUCGGGGUCUUGUGGGGCGUUGUCACCUACUUUCUAUGCUAAGGUGGUGGAUACGGAGACCCGACUGGCAUUGCCGCCGUAUCAAAGGGGGGAGCUGUGGCUAAAGAGUCCGACGAUUAUGAGAGGGUAUUUUGGGAACGAGGAGGCGACUGCGGCGGCGUUUGAUGAAGAUGGGUGGUUGAAGACUGGUGAUCUUUGUUAUUUUGAUGGAGAAGGGUUUCUUUACAUUGUUGAUAGGAUAAAAGAGCUUAUUAAACAUAAUGGGUAUCAGGUAAUUGACAUGGAUUCCCUAUCAAAUGAUUCAUUCUACCAAUACAACAAGCACUUUUCACUAAAGCAUUCUCAAAAUCUAAAUGCAGGUUGCUCCAGCGGAACUGGAAGCAGUGCUUCUGAGUCAUCCCAAUAUUCUUGAUGCAGCUGUCAUACCGUGAGUCAUUUGCUCCCUCUUACACUCCAUGAUCAUCUGCAUGUGUCUAAAACACUGAUAAUAUUAUUUUUUCAGGCUUGAAGAUGAAGAAGCAGGGCAAAUUCCAAUGGCUUAUGUGGUGAGAGCAGCUGGUUCUCAACUCACGGAAGACCAAGUCAUGCAAUUUGUGACCAGCCAGGUUGAUCUUCUUUACACACACACACACACACACAUUGCUCUCCUUUUGUUUAAUUUAUUGACAGCCUGCUCCCAAUCUGUAAAUUUCACUUGGAAAUUUCAGGUGGCUCCAUACAAGAAAGUAAGAAGAGUGGCUUUCAUCAGCUCUAUCCCAAAGUCAGCUGCUGGAAAAAUACUCAGGAAGGAGUUGGUCUCACAAAGCCAACAUCGAGUCAUCUCCAAACUCUAGUUUCUUUUCUUCAAACUGUUAGAACUAGCAGGGGUCUAAUAGGGGACAAAACUAGAUCUUAUACGAAAUAAAUUUGCUUGCUGUUCAUCACUGAAGACUCGCAGUUAUAGAUAAGCGAGGCAUCAGUAAUUCCUGCCAAUGCAGUUUGACAGAUCAUACCAAAUGAACUAUGAAAUCAUCAAUAUAGGAGCCUGUAUGUGUCCUUCGUUCACCUUUUCAAAUCCAUCAAAGCUUAAAAAUGAAAAAAAAGUGACUGAUGUUUUAACAAUGACAUGAAUAUAACAAGAUUUGGAAUUAGCAGAGCCCCAAUAUGUACAUAUUCCAGCUUAAUACUGAAUUCCAAUUAAUCUUUUAAAUAAAGGAAUUGAAUGGUACAAAAACAAGAAAUCAUGUGCAAAAAUGAAAAGGAGGGACGAUUAUUGUUACAUAACAAGGAGAAAGGGGAAAGAAAUUAAAAAAAUUAUCAAUGCAUCCAAUAAAGAGAAAGGAUUUGAUCAAAUCAAUCAUAUUUCUAUCCAAAACAACCUUAUCUCCACAAAGAAUCCCGAGUAUAGUUAAAUUUGGUCAAAUUCGGUGAAUACUUUGAUAGCUGAGUCCAAAUGCAUAUUUUGACCAGAUACGCUAAAAAACAUAGAAAGUUGUAUGAACUUUGCUGUAGCUUGAGAGAGUCAUGGCCGCUAACCAUUUGAUGCGUGGAUUUGAGGUUCAACAAGGCUAUUUCUACUGCCCCCCAGCAAUCCAUCGCCAAACACCACCAGAACCUUGGGUCUGGACAGAUGUAGCACGCUCCAUUUCCUGCUCAAAGGCAGACUUCUGUCGCCUAAGUAUUUGCACUUCAUUUUCUAUGGUCUGCAAUGAUUCACGCAUCUUCUGUAGCUCUGCUAUUUGUGCCUGAAAAGUGAAAAUUAACAUAAAUCCAGGACACAUUUGAGUCCAAAUAUUAACUUAGACAUUUAGUGAAUCACUAACAAAACAAAUAAAAGUGAGGACUAAAAAAUGGUGGAUUAAAGAUAUCAGAGAAGAGGUGAGAAAGGGAAACCUCCAGUUUAAAGCAUCUUGAUCUCUCGGCUACCAGCUGACCUUGGACUGAACUGAGUUCCUGCAAGCAAACCGAAGAAACAAGUGAAAUCAUUUUUCUAGGAAUCAUCAAAAAACUUGGCCAAAAUUAGAAGAAAAUGUUUCAUUAAAAGCAAACCUUGGAUAAUUCGCUGUGAGUACUGUUAACUUCAUCAAUCUUUUCUCUAAACCUAGAAUUCUCUGUCCUGACUUCCGCAAGUGACAAUUCCAACACUCUUUUAUCCUCUUUGAUAGCAUCAAUAUCAGUUCUGACAUCUUUCUCAGAAAGAUCGUUUCCAAUUCCAGCAAAUUUUGAACUUAAUGUUUUGGGGAUAUCCAACUUUUCAGAUUUGGCUAAGGCAUAUGCAGCAGUAACAGAAGCUGCAGCCGCCGCCGCUGCUGGUGACUGAAAAAUCUUGGGGCGUGGUAUGUCUCUUGGUUUGAGUCGCAUCACAAAAACCUAGAAAUAAAAGGGCAUGCAUGAAAACCACAGAAAUGAAGAAAAAUGAUAAGCCAGCCGGAGUAAAUCCUAAAAUGAAGAUGAGCUAUCCAUUUAAAUUUAAUGCUAGCAAUAAUAAAUCAUCAUACCUCAUUAUUAUAUUUUCCAUUAUAGCCACCAAAGGCUACCACAUGGUGCUCUCCCUCAAUUAUUGCAGAGCAAACACUGAGCCCCUGUUUUAAUAUAAAAUUUAGACAUCAUGAACAGUGCAGAAUUUGGAAAUUUCAAUAAAAAAUGUCAAAAUCCACUACCAAAAACUUCACAUAUAACAAAUUUUUUUGUAGCAUAAGUCAUACAAUCGGAGAGAUAUGCUGCAGAAAAAAUUAAAACCAAAAUAUGCAGGAUUCCUAAGAAUAGAUAAUCGAAUAAAUAAGAUUCCUAAGAAUAGAUAAUAGAACAAAUAAGUUGCUGCAUCCAAUUAUUCAAUACAUUGGUCAAAACACACAAAGAUAUAUUCAAAUUUUACGUGAUGGUUUCUAAAGACUGACAGUGACAAGGUCUGUAGGAAACCAUGCCCAAUGUUUAAAGAUGGUCGAGACAAAUCAGAACUAUGAUUGAAUUCUACAUUCCACAGAAGAUCAAACGGUCACACUUUCCCCUUUCUAACGAGAACGAUUAAGCCAACUACUCGGAAAGCAACAGAAACUGAAUCCUGCUCAAAAGAAGACAAAUGUUUGAAAUAUCAAAAUUGCAAGAUUAUGGACACAAUGAACCCAAUUUCUUAAGGUGAAAAAGCCGGAUGCAACAAUUUCAACGUCAUGGGAAUGAAAACUAGUUCAUCUCCUCUGUUGGAGGGCAGGAACCAAAACCAAAGUUAUGUAAACAAGUUUCUGCAUUCAGAGUCUGACCCUAAGAUAGAGUUGUGAAAUAUCUAAGCCCAUGAUGGUUUACUGAUCCAAAAAUACUUAAGAGUACCAUAUUAACAGCUCGCACCCAAUACGCCCUUACACUGUUUAAGGUUAUUUGUAUUAACCAAGGAAAAGAAACAAGCAAGAGAAAGAGAGAGCUUAAAUGCAGCUAAAAAGGAAAUAAGAAUUUGGGAAGGGCAUAGACUGACCUCACUAGCAAGUGGAUUCCUUCCCUUUACACUUGUCAAGAUAGACCAUGCCAGCUUAGUCAUAUUUAGCACAAUGGUUUCUUGGCAUCCUGCAAGCAAAGAUUAAGCCAUCUGUACGUGAAAAGGUACCAUCAUGAAAUGUCAAGACAAUAGUAGAUGAACAAAAUAUCUACAUACCAUUAUUAUUAUCGCCACCACCAACUAUGUACCAGUUCCCAUCAAUGGUUAUACCAGCAUGCCCUGCUCUACCAGUCACUAAAUCUCCCUUUAUUUCUGGUUGAGACCAUUCGUUCUGCACAUACAAAUUUAAAAAUUCUUGCUUAAACAUAAUCGAGAUGAAAUUCUUAUGCACUAGGCCUCAACAUAAUCAAAAAGCAUAACAAAAAGAGAAAGAAAGCAAUGAUAAAAUACUUACAGUCUGCAAGUCCAGUACAUGAAGAUCAUUGAAGAAGAUUGAAUGAGAACAACCCCCAAAUACUAUAAGGUAUCGAUUUGCAUGGAGUGCAGCAGAGUGAUCAUAUCUUGGAGCUGGGGGCGUCUGCCUAUCAAAACACAAAAAAUUGAUGCAGAAUGCAUCUGAAAGAAUUCAUGAGACCAUCUAUGAAAGAAAAAAAGAUACUUACGUAACCUCAACUGCAUCCCAAGUCAUAGUCUCCAGAUCAAGAAAAUGGACAUCAUUCAGCAAUUUCCUGCUCCUGUCUUCUCCACCAAAAAUGAUCAACCUAGAACCAACCAAAGUAACAGAAUGCCCGCCACGGGCUACCUGCAAUAGACUCCACAUGGAUACAAUCAAAAUUUUCUUCAAUGACAACUUAUCCUACUUCCUCGUCAAUAAUACAUGGCAAACAAAAAGCUUUUAAGAAAGAAAAUAAGAGAGGGGGGGGGGGGAAUUUAGGCAUCAAUAACAGCUACUUACCGGAACUUUUCCCGAGGUCUCCAUGACACCACAGAGGUUUGUUUCAAGAUCAAUGAAACGCACUGCAAAAAGUUGGUUGACACAGAAUGAGUUUGAUUAUGGACCAUAUACAGAACAACAUCUAAAGGUUCAAAGGAAACCAGAUGCUCGUUUGACCAGAACCAAGAUGGCUCUAAAAGAAACAAACCUAUCAUGCUAUCAGAAGAUUUCUUGUAAUGCCCACCAAGGAUUAAGAGUUUGGUUCCCCACUUGACCUGCCAAAAAUAAUACAUGUAACUUAUUAUGGAAAGCUUCAAUGAAUUGCUCAAUGAACACAUGGAAAUCAGACAAAAGAAUAAAAGUGCCCUUGGGAGUGCGCAUACAUGUAUUUUGAGCACAUAACUACAUACCAUACAGUGAUCUGACAUGGGUGGAAGAACUUCGAGUAGUCCACUGUCUUCAGUCUUAUCAGCAUCCAGUUCCGUUUCGAGUCUUAGAUUGGACCAUGCCAAACUUCUAAGAUCAAAGACCUGCAACGAUAGCAAAUUGCACAUGACUCAAAACAAAGAAUUUCAGCAUGAAUAUAUAAAUGGGCAUGCUGAAUACCUGAACAUCAGACAAGAACCGACCAUUACGACUCCCUCCAACAAUGUAUAGUUUCUGAUCGAACACCGCAGCAGCAUGCUAAAGUAAGAACACAAAUGGCAUUUAAGCAUCAGAAUCAUAAAUAUUGAGUGAAAAUUAAACAAUAUGGCCUCAUUGAUGAUUAAAAAAAUAUAACUAAUGAAUGGAAUGCAUUCAAAGAGAGAAAAGAAAGAAUGCACCAAAACAAUUACUAAUUAUGGUUUCCUUUGAGGAAGUUGAAUUGAUUUGCAACGUAUAAAAAUCACCUUGUAUCGGGGAGAUGGUCGUGCACCAGAAACAGGGAGUGUCACCCAUAGGUCAUAAGGUAAUUCCAAAUGCCAACUACCGCUGUCCAUAUCUUUCUUAAUCUCCUCUGUUUGUGUGCCAACUGCUUGCAAGUCACUCAGUUCCUUUAUCUUAGAAAGUCAAACAAUAAAUUUAAUAGUAUUCAUUGAAGCCAAUCUACAUCCUUCUUUUCCCUGUUUUUACUUAUAUUUUCCCUACUGAUUUGGAGAGGCAUGUUAGAAGUGGUUGUGUUCUAGCAAUAGCCAUUAUACUUGUAAACUGAUUGGUCCACUUUUAAAAGUAGGUCCCACAACAACUUCACCGUAUAAUUAUGCAUCCGGAUUUACAGAUCAAGCUUAUGCAUGCAUUCAUUUAAACAAGUAUCCACGACAGGAAAAAUAUGAAAGGGAGCAAAUACAAUGAUUAGAAUCCCGGCAUUGUUGUCAAAGAGAUUGUCAUAUAGGUAUCAUCAGACAUCGAACAAUUGAGUGGGUUGUCAAGCUCAUCGCAUUGAAAUCACACUACUUGUCUAAUGGAAUUUAACCAUGUAAAAUAAAACUGGUCACAUACUUAAGCUAAAACGUUCAUAUUUGAUUUAAAUGAUCCUUCAAUCUGAUAUUUUCACAGUCAAUAGCUCCAACUAAAUUAACAAUAUUAUACUAACUAAAUAAAAUUAUCAAAAGUGUGCAAUUAAAUCCAGUCAUGAUUCAAACACAGAGAAAAAUUAAAAUUACAAUUGCAAUUCAAAUUUUCCUUUAUGAUAGUGCAUUUUAUAAAUCAAAAUUUUCAGAGUGUUCAUUCAAUCCUUUCUAGCUCACAUAAAAUGAGCCUUUAAAAAAAUUACCACUCAAUAGUGCACAGAGAGAUCCAAAUUCUACAUUUCUUAAAAAAUUAUAAUUAAAAAUUGAAUUUUCUUCAAUUAAACAAAAUAAUGAAGAAAGCGAAGUGGUGUUACCUAAAAUUGAGAUUGGAUCUGACGGUGCUGAUUCUCCGGUGAGACGAAGAAUCGUAACACCAGCCUUUUGCCUUUGAGAUCUCAGGCGAUCCUCUUCUUACGGACAAAUUCGUAAAAGCUGAAACUCGUCGUUUCUUUUGCUGACUCCACUUACUUACACAUCUCUUAGUGCUAGCUGUCAGUUUUUUUUUUCUUUAUUUAUUUCUCCAUUUUCUGAUGUCUGCGAUUUGAAUUUGCAAAUAAACAGAUUAGUAAUAAUUGAAAAAAAAAAGACCAUUUUUUUUCUUUUUCUUUUAAAGAAACAUGUAGAAUUGACACGUGGGACACAAAAAAUGGUGUGAAUAUUUUUGACGUUAUUUUUAAUGAUAAUUAUGGAUUGAGUAAAUAAUCUGUAUUUUAUUUUUUAUUCUCUUAAAUUAUGCUUGUUUGCAGUAAAACUUUUUAUUAACUCAAAUAAAACGUUCAUGGUUGAUAAUUUGACAUGUGCGGUACUCAAGGUAGCCUCUUGUAUUGAAACAAAUUAUUUGAAGCAUGAAUAGAGAAUUUGAGAUUUUCACGAUUAAUUUAAUUAUCGGAUGUUAUGCUUCUAAAAAAUGAAAAAGAAAAUUAGAUUUUGCCGAUCACAUGGUAACAUUAGAAUUGAUUAUACUUUAUUUUUUUGAAAGAAAAAAUCAUUAUGUUCCCUCAAAUUAUAAUAAUUCAGGUCCAUAACAUAAGUCCGAUGACGAGAGACAAAAUAUAAUAAUAAUACAGCUGACUAAAGAGUGAACCAAGAAAAUAUGUAUGGAUUGAGUUCUAGAUCUUGAGAUACCUUGGUUUCAUUUGCACAAAAUAAGAAAAUACUAGAACUUAGUUUACUUGCAUGGUUUUGUAAAUAUGAAGUAUGUCUCCCUAAAGUACCAUGAUCAUGUUAAAGUUAGCAAUGUUGUUCAAGUGCAAUUUGCAAAUGAGAAUCGAAAAAAGAAAAUAAAUAGAUAAAUUAAAGUGUAAAAAUUCGUUAAGUUCCUAUAUUUAGAGGUUAGUACCUAUUUAAUUUCUAUAUUUUUAAAAAUACGCUAAAACAUCAUUGCCGUUAAGUAAUUGACACCCUGUUGUUACUUUUUGUUCAUUUUAACUUACUUUUAUAAUAUUACUUUGUACAAUAACAUUUCUUCUUUAUUGGACAUUAAUAAAAAGAAAAAAAUUAAAUUAUCAAUUUAACCCCAAAAAGUAAAAUAAAAACAAUUAUAUUAAUUUUUUUAACACUCCACGAGAAGUUAAUAGAUUAAUUUUUUAUUAAUGUCCAAAAAAUUAGUAAUUAAUUUUUUUUUACAAAAUUUUAUUUUUUUGGACAUAGCUUCUACAAAAAUUAAUAUAUAUUGUCUUUGUUUUUUAUUUUAUUUUUGGGGUUAAAUUGAUAAUUUUAUUUUUAUUAAUAUGAAAAAAAGAAACAAUAUUAUAAAAGGGUCAUAUUGUAAAAACAAACUAAAAAGAACACAAAGUGAUGGUAGGGGUGCUAAUAAUUUGAUAACAGAGAUGUUUUGAAAUAUUUUAAAAAAUAUAAAAACUAAACAGAUACUAAUUUUAAAAUAUAAAAAUUAAACUAACUUUUACCCUAAAUUAAAGGGAGAGAUUAUUUUAAAGACAAGCAGUAUGACCUGGCCGAGAUUUGGUACCUUCUAAAAGCUGUUGAAUAUGCAAUUUGGAUUUCUAUAUGUAUAAGCUGUGACUGAAUGAUUGGGCAAGUGAUGCAGCUCUUUAAAGUUAUUGUGUCAUUGACUCAUUGUGUUAAUGAUUGUUUAUGAAAAGUGCACUUUACAUGGGUGCCACUUGCGGUUAAGCCAAACAUUUCACUUGAAGAUUUGACGAUAUCCAAUUCCCUUAAUUAACGUGGUGUUUAUUUUUUUGUCUGAAAUUUAAAUAGAUUUGAAUGUCUAAAUCUAAAUAAUAUGUUUAUUUUUUCGUCUGAAUCUUGAAAAAUAAAUAUUAAGUUGUUAUUUUUUUUAACUGAAAAAGUUAAAAAUAUGUACUUUUAUAUUUGUAUCCUUAUUAAAUUUGAAUGUCAAAUAAAUAAUAUAUUAAAUACCAUAAUAUUUUAACAUUUAUAAGUAAAAAUAUAUUCAAGUGAAUACAUAAUUAUUUUAGAAUUUUAAUAUAUAAAAUACCAUAAAUUUCAAAUUUUAUCGUAUAUAAUAUAAGAAAGAAAAAACAAGGAUAUUUUUAUGUAGGGUAAGUGUCUAUGGGUGAGUUUUGGGAUAGACAUGAAAAAUAAAUUAUAAAACAUGGAUAUUUUUUACAUUAGUAAGUAAUUGACUUAAUUCAAAUUUCUCAAUUAAGUAAAAAGCAAAAAAAAUUGGCUUAUUUUAUUAAGUCAAAAUUAUCUAAAAAGUCUCAUUAAGUUAUAAAAAUAAACACAUCUAAUUAACUUAAUUAAUUAAGUUAAGUCACUUUAAGUUAUUAAGUUAAAAAACAAACACCACCUAAGAUUAUGAUUAAGCGAUAACAAGGUGUUAGGGAGCCGAGAAGCUUAAUGAGAAUUCAAAUAAAAUUCCUUUUUCAUAAAAACUAACUAACAAACAAGUCAAGUAAUGCGUAACUAAUCAAGGCCUAACCACCUAUCGUGGAUUUAUUCCAUUUGACCCUUUGAUAAUAUCUAUACAUACGGGAUUCCAUCUGUCAUGGGUUAAUUUUUUUUUUAAAAAUAAUAUAUGGGUAAGAUUUAAUUUAUUUAUUUAUUAAUCACCCGUCACCACUUGAAUUUUUGUUUAGUACAAGAGUAGAUCAUGAGAAAAUGAUGAUCCACACAUCUUAAGUCUUGUACUGAAAGAACAUCAGAUCUCAAGCAUUCGCUCAUGGAUGCAUUGGCUAAAAGAUCCUUAACGUAUUAAGGUGGCGUUUGUUUUUUUGUCUGAAAUCUGAAUAGACCUGAAUUAGUCUGAAUUCUGAAUAGAUCUAAAUGUCUGAAUCUGAAUAAUAUGUUUGUUUUUCCGUCUGAAUCUCUGAAAAUAAGUUAUAAUUUAUUUGUUUUUUUCAACUUAAAAAACUGAAAAUAUAUAGUUUUACAUUUGUAUCCUUAUUAAAUUUAAAUGUCAAAUAAAUAAUAUAUUAAAUACCACAAUAUUUUAACAUUUAUAAGUAAAAUUAUAUUUAAGUGAAUACAUAAUGAUUUUGGAAUUUUAAUAGAUAAAAUACUAUAUAUUUGAAAUUUUAUCGUAUAUAAUAUAAGAAAGAAAAAACUAAUAAGAUGCUUGAAACAGUUGAUUUGCCAUUUCAUCUCGAAGUUAUCGCAUGUAAUUUUGAUCUUCAAUACUUGAGGAGUUGAUAGUAUUAGCUGUGUGGUUUUGAUUGCCAUGACCACUUUCUAGCUCAACUUCAUCAUUUUCAUAUUGAGCAAAUAAUGCAUCAUCCACUGAUAUUUUUCGAAGAAAAUUAUGAAUCGCCACGCAUGCCACCACUAUGUUUCUCUGUGUAUCAAAUGAGUAUGGUGCCAUCCUUUUUAGUAUUGGAAAACGGGCCUUUAGCACACCAAAAGCACGCUCAAUAACAUUUCUCAAUUUAGCAUGGGCAUGAUUGAAUAUUUCCUCCCUUCCUCUAGCUCGACCGCCACUACGAAAGUCACCUAACCAAUAACGCACAUGAUGGUAUGGUGCCAUGAAACCUCUUGUAUGUGAAUAUGCUGCAUCAACUAAAUAGUAUUUAUCUAGAAAAAAACAUUCAACAUGAGUGACUAAUAAAAUAUAAUAUUAUAAAUUAUAAUGAAUAAAUUGGUAAAAUAAUGAAUAAUGACAUACCAGGCGGUGGAAUAGGAAAAUUAUUUCUUGAAUUACAAAUGGUUUCAGUUAAGACCCUUGAAUCAUGUGCAAUUCCUUCCCAUCCAACAACAACAUAUCUAAAUAUCAUGUCAAAAUCACAAAGGGCCAUUACAUUUUGAAAGCAUUCUCCCUUGCCGCGACCUCUAUAUGGAACUUGUUUAUCAAUUGGAAUACAUGCAUGAAUAAGAGUUCCAUCAAUUGCACCAAAUGAAUCCUACAUAUUAAUAAUCAAAUUAUUUCAAUAAUCAAAAUAAAAAGCUUUAUUCUUCAACCUAUUAGUAUACAGAAAGUUUUAUACCUUAAAAAUUUGCCUUAAUCGAGUAUUACGGAUGCCUCUUGAAUUAUCUGUAAAUGACGAAGGAGUGAUCAUUUCUUUCGAAAACUUCAUCAUUGCCGACAGUGCUUCAUGAAAAUACCUAUGCACUGUAUGACAUGAGUGCUGGAAUCUAAUUUUAAUGAACCGAUUUCGAAGAUUAUGGCUAAUUGUAAAUAAGAACAUAGCCAUUUUCUCUUCAACAGUUAAAUGCUUACUAUCAGAAAGCCAUCCUUUUUCUUUGAACAAUUGACAUAGAGAUAUGAACCCAUUCUUAUCCAUCCGCAUAAGAUCAUAGCAGACUAUUGGUGAUCCAUUUAAAAGUUCUUGAAUGUAAAGAGAACCUGUCAGAGAUGAUGUAGAUACUCGUUGCCUUUUGGUCGACCCUUUCAAUAAUUUUUUUACCAACAUAAUCAAUUGUUUCCGUAAUAUUCGUUUAACCCCAAUCUUUAUGUCAACUUCUUCGUCAGCUAUAGCCAUAUCUAUUAUACAAAAAAAAUAAACAAAUAUAUAUUAUAUAUGUAGCAUUUAAAGAAGAAUAUUUAAUAUUAAUUGAAUGUUGACAUACCUACUAUUAAAGUCCAAAGUAUUGCUUAGGCUGCAAUUUAUUUGUGAUAGGAUAUAACAACCUGACCAUAUAAACAAAUUUAUAAGAAAUUACAAAGACAAAAAUAAAGUAAAAAAAAAACAUAUAUAAGCAACGUAAACCACACUCUGAGCAGCAAGAUACUCAUUAAAUAUUCAAAUAACCAAAACACACAAUUCACUACACAAACCAAAAGUUCAACAAAUGACCUUAAUCAAAACAUUGAUUCAUUGCAUAAACAAAAAAGGUAUAUAAUCCAAAAAUUCCAUAAUGACACCAAAUAAAACAUUGACAAAUGAACUAGGAAUAAGAUAUUAAGGCCCUUUAGGUAAACUAUAAAUCCAUCCAAUUCGUUCUUCAUCACACUCCAUGCCCAUCCAUAGUUCUCGAUACUCUCUCUUAUUGCAGAGUGCAUUAGUAGCCACAUAAUACAUGGGAUUGUCAUAAGUUAGUAGCUUUCUCAAAAUUGGCAUGCACUGAGUAAUUGAAGGUCCUUUGUCAUCGAUCUUCUCUAAUACAGCCACUAAUUUGUUGAUAUCUUCCCGAGUUUCAUCCGAUUUGCUUUUCUUUUGUUUCUUUUUACACCUUUGCAUGUCAUCGGGAAGUGGUUCAUCCACAUUGGUGUAUGAAUCUGGUGUUUUUACCUCACAAUCAUUAUCUUCUACGUUAAUUGGAGUUUCAGAUAGCAUCGAUGAUAGAUUUCCCAUUUCUGGUAUCCCUUCCAUUCCAGAACUCCAGUUAUAAGCUCCUGUUGCUACUGCACCUGAGAACAAUGCCUCCAACUCUUCAGCAUUUGCUAAAGGUUUAUUGCGAAAUUGUUUAGCUUCUGGAUAUUUUUGUUCAAUCAAAACAUAAUAAUUGAUUAUACUUAUAUUGUAAAAAUAUUAAAUAAUUCACUUAAAUAAAAGAAAAAAAAUGUUACCUUCAAGUAUUCUUCCCAUCUUUCAGGUGGCCAAUCAAAAGUACGAGUUGUAGAAUUGUAACCAUGUCCUGUUGUCAUUGUUAAUUUCAGCCAUGUGAGGUAUUGCCUUUUCAUAUAAUCCCAUCCAUUCUUAAGUUGUUUCGGGGUAAUAGAUUUUUCUGUCAAUGUUUUCAGUUCCUGAGAAAUCCUGUUCCAAGCAGUAGGCUUCAAGGUUGCCCCAGAUCUAUUUCCAUUGUUUGCUUCACGCAUGCAGAGAUCAAUAAAAUAUUUCCUAUAAGUUGGAUCAGUCCAAUUUGCUCUCUCCCCUUGUGACGACAUCUAUGAGAAAGUUCCGCAAAAAACAAUCAAAUGGAACCAAUUGUGGAUUAUUAAUUUCAGCAAUUGCCAUUAUUAAUUUCAUUCAAAGAGACUGGAAAAUUCGUAAGUCGUAACCACCCAAGAUAGCUCUAUUAAAACUACUUCAACCAAUUACAUAGAAAAAAAAAAUGCAAUGUCAUAUCUGCAUUCAGUCAAUUGAUCAUACACAACAUCAUCUCAAUUAUAAAAAAGAAAAAUGAAAUCAAACAGAUGAGCGAAAAUUCUCCCAAAUAAAUCACUGUCAGAUUAACAAAAUAUAUUCAUAUAAAUAAAACAAUACCCAAAACGCAUAACGAAGUGUGUCAGAUCCAAAAAGAGUAGCAAAGCUAUUGAUUAUUAUAAAAGUGAAUGCUAGAAAACGUAAUUGAAAAGUCAAAUAUAAUAAAAGUGAAUGCUAGAAAAGGUAAUUGAAAAGUUAAAAAAAAAAAGCCCAAGUCAAGUGCUUGCCUGGUGAGCAAUUAAUGGGAGAUUCAAGAGAAAUUAAUGGGAGAUUUAAGAACUGGACGAGAGAAGCAGAGUGAGGAGGGAUUGCAUGACAGCUAAAAAAAUAAUGAUAAGAUUAUUAUGUGAGGUAAAUAUCUAUGGGUGAGUUUUGGGAUAGACGUGAAAAAUGAAUUAUAAAGUAGGGAUAUUUUUGACAUUAGAAAGUAACUGAUUAAUUCAGAUUUUUUCAUUCAGUAAAAAGCUAAAAAAAUUGGCUUAUUUUAUUAAGUCAAAAUUAUCUAAAAAAUCCCAUUAAAUUAUAAAAAAACACUUCUAAUUAAGUUAAUUAAUUAAGUUAAGUCACUUUAAGUUAUUAAGUUAAAAAACAAACGCCACCUAAGUAUAAGGCAAAUGCAUUUCAUCAUUUGUAUAGCAAACAUCUAUACGAAGCAAAUAGGCAAGCAACCUUGAUAAACUUUAGCCUAAAUUACAGCAAGCAAAUCACGUGCAGCAAUUGCAGAAUCAAGAGCAAUGGUCACAGGGAUCAAAUAAAUUACAGCAAGCAAAUCAGUAAUUGCGGAACCAAGAGCAACGGUCGCAAGGAACAAAUGGAUACAAUCACACUAUGGAAAGCUUUUGAAAAUAUAAUUGCCAACCUUCCAUAAAGCUUUCAUAGUCACGUGUUUUACCCAAUCUUUGUAAAACGCAUACCAAAAAAUAUUGAAAAUAUAGUAUUAAAAGACAUAAUCAUAGGGAUUCUUUUAUAAUUCAUAUCAACCAAGACUUGGUAUCAUGUUUGUAUUAAUAAUUUUAUCAAUCUGGGAACUGCAAUUCAUUUUUUUUUUUUAAACCCUAGAUCUUCUAAGGCAAAUAUUGAGCAUGGCUUGUUAAUUAUUGAAUGCUAAGAAGAGCUGAACCAGGAUCAGUGAUCACGAUAUCAUCCACAUAGGUUAAAACAAGGAUGACACUGUCAGUAUCAUGCCUAAUAAAUUAAGAAAUGUCUACAUUUGAAUUAAUGAAGUUCCAUUCUGUUAAACAAUCAGCUUGUCACACCGAGCUUAAUUAGGUUCUUGUUUAAGCCCAUAAACAAUUUUAUUGAGCUUGUUUUAUAGACACAAAUUGUCUGUGCAACAGGAAAGUAAACAAAAUAGGAAAAAAAUGAUAAAUGAAUUAAUUUGAGGAAACUUAUUGUUUCAUCAUAAACAUGUUUUUAAUUUUUCAAAGGAUCAAAUACUUCUUCCCAAUACAACUUACAGUUGCCAAUUAAUAUUCCAACCUACAAAUAAUAAUAUUCUAACCUACAAUUAUUGACACUAAUACUGAUUUAAAUACUAACUUUCCAGUUUGUCUGAUACAAUUAUCGUAUCAGCUUGUAUUUAUAUUUAAACAGGGUUUUUAGAAUCUUUAAACUAAGACCUAAAAAUGCAUUAUUUAACUUUCCAGUUUCCUUUGCGUCAUUGCAUCCAACUGAGAAUAAUAUCUCAAAGUUUUUCUCUCCCUAUCUUAAUGAUUCGUGUGUUAAAUGGUCCACAAACCCUAGAGUAAAAAGGUGGAUGCAUUCUUUCAUGUGGAUUGCUGACUUAAAAAGAAAUUGUAAGUGAUAUAUAGCUGAUAAACACUAAGGUCAAAUCAAACAUUCAUAUAUACCUUAAACAAUAUUUCGUGGAGUAAAAAUUAUCCACAAUACAGAUAUACUUUAUUUUAGUCUUUAGGGCAUCGAUUGAUCUAUCCAUUAUCUCAACUAAAAGGCCAUGAUACAAUAUAUAACAAAUGUGAAAUUAAUUAAUAUAUCUAACCAAUAGAAUUUUAUUAAGAUGGGCAAAAAGAAUUUAGUUGGUAACAAAACAAUCAAUUAAUUGAUUUAAAGGAUCUAUUUCACAUGUGCACGUAGUGCGGUCCACUAGUCCUUGGUCUUCCAUCAAUGGCAUCCACAGCAACUUUAAGAACAUGUAAAAAUCAAAUUAGUCAAAUAAAAUAUAAUGCAAUUAAUAUCUAGAUAAGAAACAACAUACUUUUUUUUUAAUUUAUAAAUAUUAUAUUUUUUAGAAAACAAAAAAUGGUUAAAAUUUAAAUCAUUUUUUAACCUUGUACCUGUCUGAAAUUCAAAUUUAGGUAUUUAACUCAAGAAAAUUAUUUGAUAACUCUUUAUUCAAUUUUUAGGGAAAAAAAUGCAUGAUUAGACCAAAUAAAGAUGGGGUUCCGUGUGGUUUUCCCCUUAUACUUUCUUCAUGAUUACCGAAUAUCUUCUUUUAAUAUAUUCUUGAUGAGUUUAUCGAUCAAACUCAAUUACAUGGGUGGAGAGAAGAUGAUGAAGGAUGGUUGUGCAGGAUGACUAAGAUAAUUUUUCAAAGUGAUAAUUUAAGUUAUAUGUGUCCGUUUUGGACAUAUAAUAUAAUGUUUCGAAAUGUGCAAUGAGAUGUAUUUGACUCAAUAUCACUACGCCAUAUUAGUCCGAUGCUUCAAUUUAAAAUUUUGUUUCUUUCAUGGUCACUUUACAAGUUUUAGUUAUUUUUUUAUUAUUCCUAUUGAUUUUAAAAUUUUUACAUUUGUUUGGACAUCAGAGUUGAGUGUCAUUUGUUUGUUUUCCUAUUUUAGUUAGUAGAAUUUUAUUAUGUAAUAAUAAUUUAGGUUUGCCUAUUUUGAUAAAUUUGCGUUAUUUAAGGUUAGUACAAAAUAGCCUUAAAACCCUAAUUUUAUUAGUAAACACUAAUUUGAUUCAAUAAUAUUUUAGUUAUUCAAAAAAAUUCCUAUUUUUAUCAAUCUUUACGUUUUCGCAUUGGAAGAUUAUGUUACCAUCAUGCUGCUUAAAAAUAUAAAGAUAAAUUUAUUACCUAUCUAGUUCAAAAACUUGUCCAAAAUAAUAUAUGAUCAUUCAUUGAUCUCAACCACAUUGCUUUAGACAGGUUUAGGGCCAAUUUGGAAUUCCUGAUGAAAUUAGCUACUUCCGUUGUGUAGAUGAAAUAGGCUGCUAAUUGAAAAAAUAACUUAGUGUUUGAUAAAUUGUAUUGUUACAGUUUAUAUGAGUUAGAAAAACAGAGUAUAUACGUUUAGAAAAUAUUAUUACAAAACUUAUAUUUUGUUAUAUAAUAAUAAAAAUAGACAUACAUUUAAAUUGUGUUUUAUUUUAACAAAAGACAAUUAUAUACGUUUAGAAAAUAUUAUUACAAAACUUCUAUUUUGUUAUAUAAUAAUAAAAAUAGACAUACAUUUAAAUUGUGUUUUAUUUAUAUGUUAGAGUUUAUGUAAAAAUAAUGCAUAAUUGUCUUUUGUUAAAAUUAAGGUUAUAUUAGAAGCUUUAAAAAGGUGUAGUGGAUUAUUUAAUAAGUUACUAAUUAAAAACAACCCCUACUUACUUUUUAAAACUGUUGUCAAAAUGAAGAAGUUUAUGAAGUAAGUUACUUUUAAAAAAUUAUCAAACACCAGUUUUGUCAAAACUUAUGAAAUAAGCGGCUUAUUGUAUUUCAACCUUAAUCCAAACAAGGCCUUAGUUUCUUAAUUUCAUCUUAAUCAUUCUAUAAUUAAGUCAAUGUUGAGCAUGUUUUCAUCAUAAAUCAAAUUGGAGGAUAACAUACGAAACAAUUAAUAUACUUUUAAUUAGUAUCGAUAAUCAUGAUCAGUAUAUUUGAUCGUUAUCAACAAUGAAAUUAAUUAAGAACGAAAUUACUUUAUUUAGACAAGGAAAGUGCUUACAAGCUGGUGGUUCAAUUUCACAACAAAGUCAGCAAUUGAUGACAAAAUGAGAAGCCUAUCAUGUUCUUGAACAAGAAAUGUCCAUAAUGACGAUACCGCGCCAUGAUUGAAAGCAUGCUAUGCAAUAUAUGCAAAAUGUCAAAGGCAAAGUUAGAGACAGAAUGUAGCCAGACAUAGGUAUGCCAGUUGUCAACCUAAGCUUACAUUUGAAGUAAAGGUAUCAAUAUCCCACUAAAAUUCUUCAGGAUUUUGACAGAGAAAUUUGGUAGGUGUGUUAGCUAGUGGAAGUCUUCGUGGCCCUAGGAUUUUUAGGGUUUCCACAAACAAAUUAACUAAAAUAAUUUACAACUUCACUUAAACAUGCUAAUAAAUUGUGAUCGUGCUAUAAGAAAGAUGAUGAUAACACUUGCACAUUAAACAUUAUUCAAUUCCUCUAGUGUGUGUUUGUAUUUAACUUGAACUCGAUCACACACACACACAUAUUCAUAUCCAUUUACAUUUAAUUAAUUAAUUAAUUAUUCUAAUAAUUGACAAUGUAAUGAUCACUAAACAUGAAUCCUAUUUGAUGUAAUAGCAAACUGUGAAAAGGAUGGGAGAAAAGAGAUGCUUCUUAUUCUUGAGAAGACAAAUGUGACAUAUGAUCACCACAAGAAUGAUAUUGGGAUGCACUCAAAGUAGAGUUCAAGUAUGAACAGAAAUGACAAAGUGAGGAAGCUAACUAGCUAAGCUAAUUAUUAUGCAUGCAUCGCAUUGGUCCCCUUUCCAUAUAAUAUAUAAAUUAUAUGAUUAAUUACACUUCAAGUCAAAAGUGGAGAAAUUUUUACUUUAUUCUUUAAUGCAGCGAUCUGAAGAUGAAGACAAGCGAAGAAGACAAUAGUCAGUCCACCACCACCAUCUCCACCAACACCACUAACUCUGAUUAACCCAACCGACACCUUCUCCAUUCAUAAUCUUUAAAAAUAAUUUAACUCGUCCUUCAAAGAAGCUGCUAGAACUUCAGUAAAUUUUGGAUAAAGAGGUAACCCUCUUCCAGUCCUAUAUAAAGGGACCCUACCUUGCCAUAUUUCACUCACCAAGGAACAAGAAACUAAAUGAGUACUUAUUUAAUUUUUUCAAUAUACGGAUCCGUGUACGUGAUCAAACAGUGAGUGUGAGCUUGUGCAUUGUCAUUCUUGUAAAAUCCUGCUUUUGGUUGUUUUUGAGAGUGUGGUGGAAAAUAUGGCAAGAUUUAGGGUUAUUGCUGGUGCUACAUUCUUGAUUAUGCUCCUUGUGGACAUGUCCUUUGCUGCUAGACAAUCAAAGGCUUUGGAUAGAGGAGGUGCUUCUGGGUCGGGUUCUGGUUACGGGUCAGGGAGUGGGGCGGGGCAUGGCAGUACACAAGGAUAUGGUAGAGGAGGUGGUGGAGGAGGAGGGGGCGGAGGCGGAGGUGGAGGUAGUUCUGGGUAUGGGUCGGGUAGCGGGUACGGGUCUGGGUAUGGAAGUGGAGGAGGAAACGGUGGUGGUGGCGGAGGCGGUAGAGGAGGUGGUGGUGGUGGAGGCUCCGGAAUAGGUGGUGGGUCCGGGUAUGGAAGCGGGUCCGGAUAUGGAAGUGGGUACGGAAGUGGUGGAGGUAGAGGAGGAGGCGGUGGCGGAGGAGGAGGAGGUGGAGGCGGUGGCGGUGGAGGAAACGGUUCAGGCUAUGGUAGCGGAUCCGGAUACGGUGGUGGAGAAGGAGAUGAUGAAUUGCCAUGAACGGGAUGAACAUGAAGAUUUCUGUUUCACUAGAUAGCAAUUGCAUAAUUCUUCAAUCCCACCUACUGCCUGCUGGCAUUCGUAACAUUCUCAAAUAAAAUUGUAGCGUAUUCAUCUCGUGCAUAUUGCUUAUGCAUGCAUGCACGGAGGGAACGUUGCACUUCUUUCUGCAUGCUUACUCUAUCUACUAUAUAUGUCAGUGUCAUUGUUAUUUAUUAUUAUUUUUUUCUUUUUGAAUAUAUAUUUGUCAUUGUUAUCAUCAAAUGUUAUUGACUUAUUGCUAAAAUAUUAUACAAAUAAAAAUUUAAUUACUUGGCGAUUUGUUUAAUACACGUGGUAAUUAGCAACUUUUUACAUGCCCUAUUCAUAUUUGCCGUCAAUAAUCGUAUCGCUAGUGACUCAGGCAAUUUUGUUCUAUAAUAACAUCCCCUUUUUCGAUUAAAAAGGCGAACGAACAUCUUCGCAGUUUGUGAUAGGAAUCCCCAGUAGCAAAACGUAACGAAAUUACACCUAUCUUCUUUCCAUUUUUUCACAAUUUUAAAUGGGUUUACCCUUCCGACAUCUUUAGUAGGUAUAGGCUGAUUGAUAUGGAGGCUGCACAAAUUGGGUAUCUAAGCUACAGUUCUAACCUGAGUUUGUUCUUUAGCGUUACUAUUUCUAUUAACGUUUUGUCAGCCUUCAGUUUCUUUAGUAUGUUUAUAAUAUUUAUGUAGGAUCUUACACGCUUACUAAAUUACAUAUAAUAUAUCUUAGUUGUUCAUAACUUUCUAGUAAUUUCACAGGUUGUCAUUCUCUUAUAUUAAGUGAACGACUUUUGGGUUAUUGUAAGUUACAUAUUAUAUGUAACUUAGCAAAUGUCAUUUAUGUAUGUCUUUGAAAUUACAGAAAUUCUGUUGCUCGACAUUUUCAGCAACACUAGAUGCAAUGAGAUUAUAACCUAGAAAAUGAAACAAAGAUUUGGAAAAAGAAAGUACCUUGGUAUCAUCAAGGAAGGCUAGCUCAUACAGUUCCUCGAAAAGAAAGAACGCCGGCAACUGAUUUUGAAGAAUGAGAUCAAAGCUCAGGAAAUGAUCUACUUGACCUUAAUAACAUCUCAUUAAAGCUUAAAGAUGCAAAAACAAAGAAUCAGUUACGAUCAAAUUCACGAAUCAUCACUCGAAAAAGAAAAUAGGACCAUAAUGAAAUGUCCGGUACCACAACACAACACAGCUAAAUACUAAAUUUCUGAGGCUAUUACAAUAUUAUAAACUGUAUUUAUUUCCACUGUCAGCUAGUUAAAAUGUUAUAAUAAUCUUUUAGUAAACUACUUGUCUUAUGAUUUACAAUAUUGUAGUAAAAGUCUAAUUAAUUAUUUACAAUAUUAUAAACAGUGUCCUGAUCUUUUUAAUUAAAGUCCGAACUCUCCGAUUGAAAUUUUUUUCUAUAUAUAUAUAACACGUCUUUGAACAUUUUUGAAAUUCUAAUGAAACCUGGCCUUUACUUUUAUUUUCCAUAGCUUUACUACUGAAUAUUAAUAAAAAUUGACAAAAAUAAUUCGAAUUAAAAUUACAAAUCAUUUCUUUCUGCAAUGAUAAACGGUUAGGAGCUUUGCCACCACCAAUGUGUAGAGCUGCUUACGUUCCUAUGCAAAAUUGAUCAGGUGGCUGAGUACCGCCAAACGCCGCCGUUCAACGGGACGUCCCCACACCCCCCCCCCCCCCCAACAAAAAAAACUUCUAGUUGUUUAAUAAUUAAUAAUUUACUUAAUUUGUUUUAUUCAUUAAUUAUGAAUUUACUAAAACAUAUUAGUUAGUUAAUAAAAAUUUGAUGUAAAAAUUUUUCUUCACCAUCAAUUUUAUACAGCUAAAACGUGACUAGUAUCAAAUGUAGCUAUGGCUUCAAAACAAGGACGGAUAUUCGUUCUUGUAGGCUAUAUUUACUUUAUAUUACGUGCUGAUCAUCAUUAAUGAUCAGAUGAUAACGUACGAAACCACUAGUAAGCAAUUUUUGAUAACUUGAUAUGCAUGAUCAAGGAUGUUUAUUAAAAAAAUGUAUUUGAUUAGUGAACGAAAUUGUGCAUAAUUAUUAGAAAUGAAAGUGCAUAGAGAGCUAGGUGGUUCAAUUCACAACAAAGUUAUUAACCGGAGGAAUUCUAUAAUAUAUCAAAUGUGAUACAAUCAACUAAUGCAUAUACGAGAUGUGUCAUUGAAUUUAAUAUAACCAUCACAUGUAUGGUAUUUUCUAAAAAUAAAUGCACACAUGUCAUAACAUUAUUUACUUGUUGUAUGAUUGUCAUGAUAUGUGUAAUGUAUUCUCGAAUAAUCCAAUUUCUCCAGCAAAUGAUGAAAAAAAAGAAGAAGAAAUAGACCUAUUGUAAGAAAAAACAAACACAGUGAGUUAAUCAAAUAAAACCAAUAGGUAAAUUAACUGCAGCAAUGUAAACAGCAACUGGAAAUCACAACUGGAAAAGCAGCAAGGAAAAGAAAAAUCGAAACAGAAAAUGAAACCCGAGGCCUGUACAAGACAGUUUCCUUAAAAUAGAUUUACCACCUACUGAAGUGCUUUAGGUUUGCUGGUAACUGUUUCCCAGGAUACAACGGGCACGAAUUUUCGGUCAAGCACAGAUAGGUAAUUCCGGCGAACCACAACAGUGGCAAACUCGAUCAGAAAAACAGACGAAAGAAUGAAGAAAGAGAAAUUGCAAGUGCUCUGUGUGCUGGUUUCAGUGUGUGCAAAAACAAAAGAGAAGGUGCCUUUUUAUACUCAUGUGAGGAUGUAACAGCAACAUUGUAUUGAAUUUUUGAAUUCAAUAUAUGCCAUUAAAUAGUUAUAACAGCCAAUUGGGCUGACAUUCGCGUGCGCAGGACGCGACGAGUUCAACCAAAUCGGUCUUGGAUUUGCACCCCCCUGCGCAUGCGCGUGUGGAGAAAUCCUCUAUCCUUAUAAUUCUUACUCAUGCAUAGUUAAGUAUUUAUAUAUAAACACUAAUCCCUUGGCUUCUUUUUCCCAUGUGGGAUAAGCCUCAUUUCCUUUUAAAUUUCCAACUUCAAGGGUAAACUUUGGGAGACAAUUUCUCAUUCACCCAAGCACCAUUUUGAGAAAAUAAAAUUACAUUUUUGAAGUAUUAAUGGAAUAGAAUCCGAACCUCACAAGAUUUCUCACUUUCGCUAAGUGAGACCCACUCAAAAUGUGCCCUUAAAAUAGCAUAUAGACUUGCUAUUUUUUGAACACCUAUCAUGUUCUUGAAUGCAAGACGCCAUGAUUGAAAGCAUGCUAUGCAAAUAUGAAAAAUGGCAGAUGCAAAAUAAGAAUUGAAAUUAGGGAUGAUAUAUUUGUCGUGCAUGCCAGUUGUCAACCUUGCAUUUGAAGAAAUAAGGAUAUCAAUAUGACAAUAUCCCACUAAAAUUCAUCAAGAUGAUUUUGAUAAGGAAUUUUGAUAGGCGUGUUAGUGGAAGUGUUUAUGCCUUAGGAUUUUUUGGGGUCAAUUUCCACAAAUAAACUAAAAUAAUUUACAAAAGGGAUGCAAUUCCUACAUUCUUAAGAAGACAAAUGUUGCAUACCAUCACCACAUGAGAAACUAGCAUUGGCAUGCAUGCACUGAAAGCGGUGUACUUCAAAUGUGAACAGAUUAACAAACUGGUGCAGAAGCAUUAAGCAUUAAGCAUGCACAUGCAUUACAAUGGUCCCCUUCAAUUCAAAAAUGCUAUGGAAAUCGUAUGUUUUAGUUUAGGACCCCUUUAAAGUCAAAAGUAGAGAGAGAGAGAGAGAGAGAGAGAGAUUUAACUUUAUUCUUUAUAUGCAAAGAGAGAGAGAGAGAUGUGGCGGUGAGGCGAAGACAAGGAAACAAGAUAAUAGAGUACACAUCCACAAUAUCACCGUCACCACCAACACCACUAACUCUAACCCACAGAGACACGUACGUUCUCUACUUAUAAUCUUUAAAAUUACUUAAAUGCUCUUUCAAAGAAGCUAGAAUUUCGGCAAACGUUGGAUAAAGGUAACCCUUUUCAGUCCUAUAUAUAGGGACCCUACCUUGCCAUAUAAUUCACUUAUCAGCAAGAAAUAGAGAUUAAGUAGUUUUGCAUGUAUUGAGUGUGUGUUUAAGUAAACAGUGAGUGAGCUUUGUACGUUGUUGCACUUCUUGUAAACCCUACGUUUGAGUUUUUGAGAGUUCGGAAAAUAUGGCAAGGUUUAGGGUGAUUAUUGGUGUAGCGUUCUUGAUUAUGGUCCUUGUGGACUUCUCCUUUGCCGCUAGACAAUCAAAGGCUUUACAUGGAGGAGGUGGCGGAGGAGGAGGUGGAGGCAGAGGAGGUGGUGGAGGAGGCAGUUUUGGGUCGGGGAGUGGGUUUGGGUCUGGUAGUGGAUAUGGGUCUGGGUAUGGAAGUGGUGGAGGAAACGGUGGAGGUGGUGGAGGCGGAGGUGGUAGAGGAGGUGGCGGUGGUGGAGGCUCCGGAGUUGGAGGUGGGUCUGGAUAUGGAAGCGGGUCUGGAUACGGAAGUGGAUAUGGAAGUGGUGGAGGUAGAGGAGGAGGAGGCGGUGGAGGAGGAGGAGGAGGAGGAGGAGGCGGAGGAGAAGGCCAUGGUGGCGGAUCUGGAUAUGGGUCGGGCCAGGGCUCCGGAUACGGUGGUGGAGGAGGUGAUGAAUCCCCAUAAACAUGAACACAUGAAGGUUCCUGUUUCAUUAGGUAGCAAUUAGCAAUGCACUCUUCAAUCCCACUUUUCACUUUUGGCAUUAGUAAUUCUCAAAUAAAAUUGUAGCGGAUUCACUUUAUGCAUACAUUUCACUUUUGGCAUUUGUAAUUCUCAAAUAAAAUUGUAGCGGAUUCACUCCUUGCAUGCGGUUUGUGCAUGCAUGGUGGGGAAAGUUGCAUUUCUUUCUGCAUGUGUCUCUACGAUACUGCUAUACACAUGCUUUGUUAUUACCAAGGUUUAUUGAUACAUCAAUGCAAAAUAAAAAUUUACCCGUGUGCUAGUUAUAGCAUUAUUCAACCAGCCCUUGUAUACAUUUCACACCCAUAUCUAUGGAAGUUUCGAAACCAUGAACGUUUUGUCUACAUCCUUAUAUUCAAGUGAAACGGUUUGUUGAACAAAAACAUUGCUGUAC
rnacentral:lncRNA from 1 species